rnacentral:lncRNA from 1 species
UGGGAGAUAGCUCACAUUGUAAACUGAAGUCUUCGAUUCCCAGCAAUUAAAAUUACUUUUGAGAUCAAUGAAUUAUUCUAUAUGUGUGUUAAUAAUGAGGCCAAACUAGGUGUGCAAGUUAAGAGACAAUGAAGUAGAAGAGGUUAUCGAAACUGAGGAUUGGGAGCAGACUCUGCUAUCACACUUGCAUUAUCUGGCUACUGCUUGUGUGGAAUCUUCACAAAACCCCAAACCCACCUUAGAUGAGGACCCCUCUGUGAAUAUUGCAGCUUCAAUUGAAAGUUCUCCUCAACCUCUUGUUCAGAUUCCUCUUGUAUGGCCUCUCAAUGGCAUUUUAACCCAAAAUUAGACCUAAGAUGUCAUGUCUGCCUUGAGUGGUCAUCAUGGUAUCUCUCUCGCUCAGAAUUCCCCUCCAUCUUGCCCACAUGUGUGUUUGAUAGUCUCCUUGUAUCAGCGUCAAGGAUUCUGCUGAAGGAGCCAAAUUGUGAGAGAAUUGAUUGUUUUGAGGGGGACUUGGGUGUGGUUGUAAUUGUUGAUAUCCAUGGGCAACUGCACAAUCUCAAUUUUCUUUUCUAGGAUGCUGGUUUUCCUUCGCAAAAACUCAUCUUUGUUUUCAAUGGAGACUAUAUUGGUGUAGGAUGGGGUGUCGAGACACUUUUACUUCUGUUGGUGUGGAAGGCAAAAUUAGAAUAGUGAUAUUCAUUUUGAGGAGUGAACUUUGGUUUAAAGUGGAACUCCAUGUGACUUCCCAAAAGGAAUUUGUUCAAGUGCUUAACAGUAUGAUCUUGAUGUUAAUUUGAAAUGAAUAUUAAGAACUUGGUACUUUUUUAUCAUUAUUAUUGCUAGUAAAGAAAAUAAUACAUGAAUAGUCUUUGAAGGUAAUAUUUAGCUUUUCCUUUAUUUUUUUACAAAAUUUGUGUUUUGAAAUGCACUUUACAAAAUUAGUGUAGGUAAUAUAUUUUGAGUUUUGAUGCCAGGUUCUUAUGCCACAUAGGGUAUACCUGCUUAGCAGAAAUCAUGAAACCAAGCUGUGUGUCUGCGUGUUCGCUUGAAGAAGAGGUGAUGACAAAAUAUGGAGAUCAAGGGACACGCAUCUACUGUAGAUGCUCAGAAUAUUUCUCAAAACUUCCUUUAGCCUCAAUUAUAGCUGGGAGUGUUUAUACCAUACAUGGAGGGCUUUUCCGUAGAAUGCCUAUUGCUCCAAUAAGUCCUCCAAAAUGAAUAAUUUGGAGAAGUCCAACAUUAUGUGGAGACUCUGUCUAUAGGUUAUUUGGAAGAAUUAUCCAAAGCAAGGAGAUCAGUUCCAGAUCCUCAAAGUUUGGGAAUGAACUUAAUUUCUGAUGCAUUGUCAUCAGAUCCUUCAAUGGAGAAUGGCCUUAGACCAAACUUAGAGAGAGGAGUCUACUCUGGGGUCCUGAUUGCAAUGAGAACUUCUUAAAGAAGUCAAAUUUAAAGGUUACUUCAUAGACUUAAUUCUUGUUUCUGAACUCCUCAUAUGCCAAAUUAGCAUUUGUUUCUCCUUUCUGUAUGAGUUCUAGAAAUAACCAGUUCAAAAAGUUGCAAUACUAAUGUCAGGAUGAUGUCUUUUAUUAACAAGAAUAAAGAGAUUGGCUUCAAAUUGGAUACUUUUCUCAUUAACAGAAUGUAGUAUAUAUAUACACAUGUUUGAUCUAAUCUUCUCCUAAAUUAUAGCUACAGAAUCAGUAAUAUAAGGCUAAUUAUGCUCCUAUACAAUCAGCUAAUUAUGUCAAGAUAAUCAUACAAUAACUAACAUAUAAUUUCCUUAAUACUCCCCCUCAAGUUGGAGAGUGCAAAUCAAGAACUCCCAACUUGGUGCACAAAAAUUCGAACUGCUCCCUACCAAGUGCCUUUGUAAAAACGUCCGCCAACUGCAUCUUUGUAGAAACAUAACACGGACGAAUUACCCCAGCUUGAAGUUUUUCUCGAACUAUAUGACAAUCAAUCUCAAUGUGUUUAGUACGUUCGUGAAAAACUGGGUUAGCCGCAAUAUAUAAAGCUGCUUGAUUAUCACAAAACAAUGGUGCUGGUUUGUCCAAUUCAACCUUCAAAUCUUUAAGUAUGUACCUCAACCAAGUCAAUUCUAGGCAAGUAUUCGCCAUUGCUCUGUACUCUGCUUCUGCUGACGAACGUGAAACAUUCGUUUGUUUUUUUGAUUUCCAAGAGAUGAGUGAUGAUCCGAGGAAAACACAAUAACCAGAAACGGAACGUCUUGACAUACGACAUCCUCCCCAAUCUGAAUCGCAAAAUGCGCUGAGUGUUAAAUUAUUUUCAGAUGGAAGAAAAAGACCUUGACCUGGUGAUCCUUUAAUAUAUCGGAGGACCCGUAAUGCUGCUUCCUAGUGCGGCUUCCGAGGUGUGUUCAUGAAUUGACUUAGUGUACGUACUGAAUACACUAUGUCAGGCCUGGUUACAGUCAAGUAUAUUAAUCUGCCAACCAGUCUCCGAUACCUACUUGGAUCAUGAAGUAACUCGCCAUCUUCAUCAGUCAAUUUCAAGUUUUGCUCCAUCGAAAAUUUUUCGGGCUUCACUCCUGUCAAUCCUGUGUCUUGCAAAAUAUCUAAUGCAUAUUUUCUUUGAGACAUAAAGAUUCCCUUUUUAGAGCGAGAGAAUUCUAUACCCAAAAAAUAUUUCAAUUCACCGAGGUCUUUAAUAAAAAAACGCUUGAGCAAAUGAGUCUUGAGCAUCUUGAUUUCAUGCAAAUCAUUACCAGUCAACAGGAUAUCAUCAACAUAAAUGAGAAUAGCAGUGAACUUGUUACCUUGGGAUUUAGUAAAAAGUGAAUAAUCUGCUUUGGACUGUAUGUAACCCGCAGACUUAACAAUAGCUGUAAAAGUUGAGAACCAAUUGCGUGAUGCCUGUUUCAAACCGUAAAUAGAUUUGCGAAGCCGACAUACCAGAUUCUCCCCCUGUCGGCGAAGACCAGGAGGUGGAGUCAUAUAAACCUCUUCUUGUAAAUUGCCAUGAAGGAAUGCGUUGUGCACAUCAAGCUGAUGGAUGUACCAAUUUCUGGAAGCUGCGACAGUCAGCAAACAGCGAAGAGUGGUGAGUUUGGCAGUUGGAGAAAAGGUUUCCUGAUAGUCGAUACCGGCGACCUGUGUGUAGCCCUUGGCAACCAAACGGGCUUUAUAGCGUUCAAUGGUUCCAUCAGAAUGGUAUUUGAUCUUGUACACCCAGCGGCAGCCAAUGGGUUUGUGUCCCGGAGGAAGAGGGACCAUCUCCCAAGUGUUGUUUCGUUCUAGAGCCUGAAGUUCGGUGGACAUGGCUUGGCGCCAACGUGGAUCACAGUCAGCUUGUUCAAAGGAUGAAGGUUCGGUUUGGGCUGUCAAAAGAGCUAAAAAAGCACGGUGAUGGGGUGAAAAACGAAAAAAAGAAAGGUGAGAAGAGAGGGGAUACCGUGUACCUUGACGAGAACUUGAUUGCGUGGAAGAAUGAUUAAGCUGGGCAGACAUGGCAUAGUCGUGGUGCUAGGCAGGAGGCUGAAUAUGACGAGUGGAACGUCGAAGAGGGGGUUCAUGGNNNNNNNNNNNNNNNNNNNNNNNNNNNNNNNNNNNNNNNNNNNNNNNNNNNNNNNNNNNNNNNNNNNNNNNNNNNNNNNNNNNNNNNNNNNNNNNNNNNNUAUUAUAAUAAUAUAAUAAUUAUGUUUAAAAUAUUAUAGAUAAUAAAAUAAAAAGAUGGAAGAGUGCAAAAAUUGAAAUUAAAAAUUAAAAGCUAGAAUGCAAAACCAGGAAAAAUAAAAAAAGAAGAAUAAUGUGGCAUGGAUUCCAUGUGUAAAGCUUAUGUUAGAAAAAAUCAUUAUGAUGUUUUUGACUUGUUAUGUCAGAAAAAACAAAAUGAGGAAAGUACGAUGGUUGAGACUUUUUUUUUUUUUUCAAAAAUUACUGUCGAAGUGUACGAAAGUUAUUAAAAAACCUUUUUUUUUUCUUUUUUUUUUUUUUAGUUGUACCUUUGAUCCAAGGAUAUAACUUGUAUCUAAGCCUACCUUUCCUUUCACUCCUUCGAAGACACUACCAUGGAAGUGUCUUCACUUCACUCAUAUCUCUCUCUUCUCUUCGUCUUUCUCUUGCUUGUUAUCGGAAUUUUGUUCCCAAGAAGAAGAUAUGGGAAUCUCCCACGGAGCCCGCCUGCAGUUCCAAUUAUAGGUCAUCUCCACCUCCUCAAACAACCGGUCCAUCGAUAUCUACAACGCCUUUCACUAAAGUACGGUCCAAUCUUCUCCCUCCGAUUCGGAUCCCAGCUCGUGGUCAUCGUUUCCUCUCCCUCCGCCGUCGAAGAAUGCUUCACCAAGAACGACGUCGUCUUGGCCAACCGCCCUCGCUUAGCGUCCGGUAAGUACCUGGGGUUCAACUACACCUCCAUGGCCUCAGCAUCAUACGGCGAACACUGGCGCAACCUCCGCCGCCUCAGCGCCUGGAAAUCUUCUCUUCGAAUCGCUCAACAUGUUUUCUAGGCAUCCGCAGGGANNNNNNNNNNNNNNNNNNNNNNNNNNNNNNNNNNNNNNNNNNNNNNNNNNNNNNNNNNNNNNNNNNNNNNNNNNNNNNNNNNNNNNNNNNNNNNNNNNNNUAAUUGCGCACUAACCUCUCUCUGAUGGCGCAUGGUGGCUCGUCGCCCAGGUACGCACUACUUUCACUCUGGUAAUUGUCCAAGCAUAUUUUGAUUCUCACGUGUGCAUGAUUUAUUCUGGGUACUCAUUGAUCUACUCGUCCACUGCCAUGAUUGCUUCAUUUUAUUAGUAGAGACCCGCCUCUAGGGGCUUAGAGGGGUGCUACGGUCUUUACCGUACCUUCCCGAUGAGUAACCUGACCCCCGAACCCGAUCCGGUUUUUCACAGACCACCUUUUCCAAAACAAGGAGUCACCCUUAGGGUUUUUCUUUCUUAUUUUGUUUACCCUUUAAAAAUAAAACAAAAAUAAGUGGCGACUCCAAAUCAAUUUUUCUUAAUCAAUAAAGAUCAAUUUUUCAAAUUAAAAUCGAGCUCGCCGUCGAGUGGGAAACGCAUUGAGCCGAAAUGCGGGGUCCACACAUAUGCACUUAAUGUAAAUACCUUGUACAGUGACUCAAAUUCCAUAUAUCUCCUACUCAAUGUGUAAUCAUAGGUAGGUUAACCAUGUUUUCAUUGGUUUGUUUAAAAAAAUAACAGAAAAUGGAAAAAGAAAAUUUCUAUUAGACAAAAAAUAAAUAAAGAAAAUAAAAUUAAAAAGAGUAAUAAAUAUAUAUAAUUUAGUUAUUUAAUUAUUUUUCAUGUAAAAGAUAAUCCCACAAAAAACACAUAAUUGAUGAAUUUCUUUGUUUAAUUGUAAACAUACUAUAUUUUUUUUAUUUUUUUUAUUAAAAUAACUAAUGAAAAAAAAUAAAAAUGGAUAAUCAAUAAAUGAAAUUUAAUUCUUUUCAUUAUUUUCAUAUAAAAAAUAGUACUAAACAAGGUUUUCAAUUUUUUUUAAAAAAAAUAGUUUUCAUUUUUUAAUUAGAUGUUUUUUCAAAAAGAAAAUAUAAAAAAUAUAAAUCAUAUUACCAUUUUUUUAGAAAGUAUUUUUUAAAAUAGUUUUUGAACAUAAUUUUUCUUUAUUUAUAAUUUAAAACAAAAAAUAAUGUUGAUUUUAAUUAUUUAUAAAUUAAAAAUUAAAAAAAAUUAAAAAUUCAAAUUGUUAAAAUAUAAUUAUUGUGAAUAGUGGUUCAAUAAAGACAAAAAAAAAAAACUUAUGUGAAAGGUCAUUGGGUAUUUUAGUCCAACAUUAUUUUAUAUCUUUAAAAGAUAAUAUAUAAAAAUUUGAAGGAUAUAUUGGUCUUUUAACAUCUUAUAUCAUUUUCAUCAAUUAUGAAAGUUAUAUAUACCAAAUGUUAAUUUUUGGGCCUAUCCGGGCUCAAAACACAAUUCUCCCAUUUUCUUAAUUAUUUUCAUAUCUAAAAAAAAUUAUUAUUAUUAAAUUUACUUUUAAACUAUGAGAUAAUAAAACUUGAAUUGAUAAUUCAACCAUGACAUACAAUACUAUUUUUCCGUAGUUGGGAUCAGUGGCGGAGCUAAUAAUUUAGUUUAGGGGGGCAAUUCUUGAAACAAAUAUGGGCUUUAACCCAAUACUCCAUAAUUAUCAUUGUUAGGAGGAGUAAUAACCAGCUCGGAUUUGAGUCAUACUAUUACAAGAAAUAUAGGUUUUUUGUUUUAAUAUUUUCCGAGGGGCAUGUACCCAUGGGCAGGUGGUUGAGACUAAUUUCAUUGUCCCAUGUAAUUUGUCUAUAGAUUUGCCAAAAUUUCGGGAGGGUGCCGACUUUUCUAGGCAUAAUGCGGCUCUCCACAAGUUUUUACCUUCCAUAGGAAAAAGUCCAUUGUAAGUGUUUCUUAUGCGAUUAAAAUUAAAUUAUAUUUAAAUCUCAUGAUACAUGUCUUAAAUUUAUUUUUAUUAUAAAGUUGAAUUUGGUGUACGUUUGUGCCCCAAAUAUCAAAUCCCAAUUAAUGCAAGUGUCAAUUAAUUGUAAAUAGACCAUUUUCAUAUAUCAAUAAUAGGAUCCGUAGGGAAAUUGCCUUUUCCGAGCCAGCAUAGGCGCGUGAUCCCAACCACCUUAACCUACCUCGAUCCAAACCCCACUCUCCUUCUCGUCCGUUCAUAUAAAGGAAAAUUAAUAUUUAAUUGUAGAUAAUUCCCCUAAAUUUCCGUGAUCCGAAUUUUUAAGGAAUCAUUAUCUUAAAACAAAUUAUUAUGUUCAUAAUCGCUAUUAUUGUUUUUGUUGCAUGAGUGACGUGUAACGCUAAAUUAUUAUUUUCUUUAAUAUAAGUUAUAAACAAGACAUAUAAACUUUAUAUUAUACUCACGUAGUCAAAUUAUAAUAGUCAAUCUAUCUAUCUACAAUAUUUAUCAAAAUUUUAAUUUAUUUUUUACUUUCUAAAUAUAAACUUAAUAAUUUAUACAAUAAAAAAUGUUUGAAAAUGGACAUCUUCCCAAUAGAGGUCAAAGUAAGUACAGAUGUAAAAUAUUUCUAAAUGAUUCUAAGUGUCUAAAAAUCUAUUAGAUUAAGAAGCAAGAAACAUGAUUAUGUAUGAUUAAAUACAUGCCAAGAGACUAAUCAGCUGGUUUCGAAAUGAGUCGUGUCAACUUUCUAUAGGACCAGCCAAGUUGGGGCGGACCGAAAGCGACACGUAACCAUUCAAAGAACGGACUUGAAUUACUUGCACAAGACUUGGAAGAUUUCAACUACCAUCCGAUAUUCUAAACUCAUAUUGUCAAUAAAGAACACCUAUGGGUUGUAUCUGACCAAAAAGUGCCAUGUGAACAAAUAGUCGUGGCACAAAUCAAAUGCUACACACUUAAUUUGAUGGACAUUCUAAUCAAAAUUGAAUACAAUGAUGGCUACGUAUGUGUCUCAAAGAUUUUGAGAUAAUAUAAUUUAGUUGAAUUAUUGGCAUUUGAACGACGUGGGUAGUACCGGAAUCUUCCUUUUUCCUUUUUUUUAGGAAAAAUGUUGGGUUUGGAAUCAAAUGAACAUCUUAAAAUUCAACGCGGUAGUUGAUCAAUAAAAUUUAUACCUUAGAGGAAAAGUUAUAUUUUAGAAAAUUCAUUGUUUUUGCAUCAAUUAUCUAAGACUAUGUUUGGCUUCCCAAAACAUUAGGGAAGGAAAAAAAAUACUAUUUUUUUUUACUUGGUUUUACGAUAAAAAAUAAAAAAGAAAAUCAAAUAUAAUUAAAAUUAUUAAGAAAUUUGUGUAUAUUUUUUAAAAUUAUCUAAUAUUUAUUUGAAAUAGUUAAAUAAGUGAAAUUUUUUUGAAAUAAUAUAUAAAAAUAAUUUAUUAAUUUUAAAUAUAUUUUUUAUUUUUAUUUUCAGCUUGUUCUAUAAAAUUUGGAGGAAAAUACGAGGGAAAUAAAAUAUGAAGAAAAAGUAGAAGGGAAAAAAAGUUAAAUAAAAAAAAAUAGAGUUAAAGUUGAUGAAUUAUUUUUAUUUGUUAUUUAAAAUUUAUUUUUAAUUUAUGAAUAAAUAUUAAAUAAUUUAAAAAUACAUAAGUUUCUAAUUAAUUUUAAUUAUAUUUAAUUAUCUUUGGAAUUUUUUAUAUGAAAACCAAAUAUAAGAAAAUCAAUUUCCUUAACAUUUUUUUUCUUUCCUACUUUUGGGAAUCAAACAUAAUUUUUCUCUAUUUUCUUUCUUUGGCCUUUUCCUUUAAACUUUCUAGAAACCAAACAUACCCUAAGGUUAAGUUUGGUUCAUAGAAAAAUCAAGGGAAAAUGCUAGAGAAAUAAAAUAAAAAUAAAAUUUUGAAGGAAAAUAAAAAUCGGAUUUAGAAUUAAUAAAUUGUUUUUAUAUGUUUUUUCAAAACCGUGUCACUCAUUUUCCUUCAUUAUACAAAUGUUAAAUAAUUCUAAUAUAAGUAACUAUUUAACUAAUUUUAAUUGUAUUUAAUUUUUUUUUCGUAUUAAUAUUUUCCGGGAAUCAAAGCCUAAAUCCAUGAUAAAAUAUGAAUUAUGUCAUAUAAAAAUACAGUUUGUAUAGAGGUGGAGACAAUUUCUGAUUAUAGUGGUGGACAUUUUUGUAUCUGAGGAUUCCUAUUCCAUCCUAUGAAUAAUUAAAACACUAUUUUAAGAGUUUGUCGCAUAUAAUUUAAAUUCUGCUGCAAAAGGUGUAACAUUACAUGUGCGGUUGAGGCACAACCAAACAAUUGCAUGUGAUGGGAAGGCUUUUUUUUUUUAAUUAUUAUUAUUAAUGGAGGAAGUAUAAAAAAUUUCCGAAAAUUAAAUUUUUAUUAAUGUGUUUAUAAGAAUAUUGGAAAAUAGAGUUGGAAUGAAACUGAUCAUCUUAAUAUCAUAUAUGGAGGGAUAAUAUUUAUUUUUAUUUUUUAAUUUUAAUAUUAUUUUUAACAUAACCCAAAAUAAUUUAGCAAUGCCUCAUCAUAUCAAAUAAUUCAGAAGUAUUUACCCAAAAAUUGACAUUGUUUUAAUUGUGUCUAAAAUUAAUUUGGGGAAAUGAAUCUCAACUUGUAUUUAAAUUGACUUAUGAGAAGUUAUAAAUUUCAUUUUUAAGUAAAUCAAUUUAAUAAAUUAAUUUAAGUUAUUAGAUAAAUUAAAUAUGUUUGGUAAAAUAUUUUAAUGGUAUGAUUUAAAAGUUAAAAACAAUUUUAAAUAAUAAGUAAAAAUAAUUAAUUUAUUUUUAAGUUAACAUAUUUAUUUUAUUUUUUUAUCUUUAUUUUUCAUAAUUAUCUAAACAAUCUCUUUUACUACUUUACAAUCUCAAUUGUUACUUAACUUCUUUAUCUUAGUUAUAAUUUAUGAUAAUAAAUAUAUUAAUUUGCUGAUUUAUAAUAAAUUUUAAUAUAAUUUUAUCAAACAACCUUAAUACUUAAAAUAAAAAUUAAGUAAUAAGUUUUAAGUUGUUUUAACUUAAAAUUAACUUAAGUUUUUAAGUAAAUUAUCAUAAAUGAUGCUUAAAUGUCUAUAUCUUUAUUUAUUUUUUCAAUUAUUUCAUAUCAAAGGAAGAUUUUAAUUAGAUAUUUGUAAUUUGCACACCAAUGUUAAAUAUUUCAAAUGUUCCAACAAAUGCAAUUUUCAUUGGAACAUAUAUUCAUGGAAAAAAUAAUAAAAAAUAAGAAGAAUCUGAUAACUUUAUUUGCAAAAUUAUUGUAAAAUUACAUCACAGUAGCACACUUGAGCAAUAUUUUUUCCUACAUAAUUUCAAAUUGCUAAUCUAAUUUUUACUUCUUAACACACAUAUUGAGUUUAGAAAAGAAAAAAAAAACUUAAUUUUAUAUACACAUAAUUUGGGAAUUUUUAUUUUUUUUAUAAUACAAUUUCCAAAAAAAAAGGAAAAAAGAAAAAAAAUGACAAAUAACUUAUUUUCAUUAUUAUUAUUUGUUUGCAAAUAGAUGUAUUUAUAAAUCUAUUUAAUGAUUUACAUUAUAUAAAUUUAUAUUAAUUAUUGCUUAAUUUGCACAAACCAUAACGAGAAUAAAAUUUAAUGAAAAUUAUAAGAAUGAACAUUUUAUAGUCAUUAAAAUUUGUAACCGUAUACCAAAUCAGAUUUCUAUUUCUAUAUUUAGAGGCAAAAUAUUAUUUUUUGUAAAAGUUCUUAAUAUAGAAGAAAAUUUAAUAUUGUAAAUGUCAUAUUUAUAAUGAAUUUGAUUUUUAUUUCUAAUUUUUUAUCUUUAGAUGCAAAAUUUGCGUAACAUGAAAGUAAAUUUAAUAUCAUAAAUUAGGGUGAUUUUUUGGUUAGUAAUUUAUUGAUACCAAUCAAAGCAUUAAUAAUAAAUUUAUCUUAAUUAUGUUGAUUAAUAUGGAAUUUUUCUAUUCAACAAAAAAUCAACACUCACCUUAAUAUAUCUAUUUUAUUUAUUUUUUAAAUUUAAAAUAGAUUUAAAAUUUUAAAACUAUGCUUUGCGUUUCCAAGAGGAAACAGGGGGCGGGUGGGGGAAAAGAGAGGUAGUGGUUUCACGUGCUGGCAAAGUGGACUGAUCACUGAAGGAGGGAGGAUCACGUGCCAUAAAAGCUUGAGACGAAUAUUCCAUUCUAGCGCGUUAAAUUCCAAUAUUUCUUUCUCCAGGCGCUCAACACAGCGCGUGGAUCACUCACCGUAACCCUUUACUUUUGGUUCUCAGCUUUUAUCGGGGUUUCCAACUUUACUUCUUCAGACUUCAGACAUAAGAAUGCAAUUUUCUCGGGAAAAUUCGUGAUUGAAAACUCCUAGCCGUCCCGACCGUUCCGCAACCACUUCUUAAACGCCUCUUAUCUUUCACUCCGCAAGAGUCUUCGCUUCUUUCCCUUCCUCUUUCGCCGGCCGAGCUCGGUCGGUAAGUGAUUUUCUCUCUCUCAUUCUUGGAUCUCUUUGUUUGUUCGGUUGCAUGGAGGGGUUUGUGGUGGGAUGGGUUGGCUGCUGAUAAAAUGAAAGAAAAAGAAGGAAGAAAAUGAUAUUUUGGAUCUUUUUCUUUUUCUUUUCCUUUUUUCCUCUUCAAUGUUGUUUUGGUUUCCGAGAGACGGAGUGAAGGCGCGGUAGCGUCUCUCUCUGGUUGAUGGGAAAUGGAAGAAAAGGGAAAGAAAAAUGAAAUUUUUAGUUUGUUUUUCUAUUUUUUGAUUUUGUGUUGGUUUAGUUUUGAAAGAACGAGUCUUAUCGCGGCUGGGCCAAAUUAUAUUUCUUUGCUUGGAUUCUGAGACACGGAGGAAAGGAAAAUUUUGAAUCGUGUGUCUAAUGUUGUUUUAGUUUCUAGGGGAUCUAGACCCGAAUUUGGACCUAAUAAAGAGUUAGAAAGUAAUUAUUGCAUUUCACUGGGUGGAUUCUAGAUUGAAUCCUCGUUAAUUUGUUAUAAUUUAUUUUGGGAUUAUGAUGAUUAAGUCUCGAAAAUUUUUCAUCUUGUCGGAACUUGUUCAUGGGAUUUUCUAAGCUUCUCUUAUUUGCAUUUUUAGAUUGGAAAAAUGUCCUUUCAAUGUAAGGAUUCAUAUGUGUUAUUUUAGAUUGCCCUUCUUUUUUUUUUUUACUAAUUAUUUCUGUGUGGUGGUUUUUGAAAUUUGGAUCGUACUGUAAGGUCAGGAUGGUUUUGAUGAUGUAUUGUAGUGAAGCCUAGGCGGUAGUCUAGUUGUGCGCUUCUCCUUCUUCUGUAAAUGGGCUGCUUUCAGUCAACAGCAAGAAAGCAGUUUCCUGGACAUGAGGACCCAGUAAUUCUUGCUUCCCAAACAGCUUGUAAGUUGUUUACUAUUUCAUUAGAAGGUUAAUGUUGACACAGCUUUUUCUUAGUCUCUGGUCUCUGCUUUGUAAUGAUGCAUGCUGUGUGAUUGUGAAUUUAGCUUCUAUCCUUCCAAUCGGUUAAUGUUAGUUUACUAUUUGGUUUGGAGCUUGUUAUGAUCGUGCCAGAAUUUUAGGCCCACGACUUGGUUACAAAUAUUUGAUAAUCUUGGGUUUUGUGGAACACAAUAUUGGCAAGUAGAUGCUUGCGGGGGAAAAAUUGUAGAUAUGGCCAUGAUGAAUUUACAUCUUCCUCGGUCUGAUCUUUCUUAGAACCAUACUCUUUAAUCCCUGGAAAAUACUUCUGUAUGGAACACUGAGUUGAAACCCAUAAAUUUAAUUGUUCUAAUGUACCUAUUUUUAGCUUUUAUCCUUCCAAUCAGUUAUUGUUAGUUUACUCUUUGGUUUGGAGCUUGUUAUGUUUGUGCCAGAAUUUUAAGCCCAUGAGCUGGUUACAAAUGUUUAAUAAUCUUGGGUUUCGUGGAACCUAAUAAUGGCAUGGGUAGUUGCUUGUUGUGGAAAAAUAAUAGAUAUGGCCAUGAUGAAUUUAAACCUAGCUCAGUCUGAUCUUUCUUAGGACCAUACACUUAAAUCCCUUGAAAAAUACUUCUGUAUGAAACACUGAGUUAAAACCCAUAAAUUUAAUUGUUCUAAUUUACCUGUUUUAUGUGUCAUGGGGAAUACACUUUCAUUCUUUAUUGGUAUAAUUAAAUUUGGAUAAUCUAUUUGCUAGUUCCACUUAGAUAAAAAAAACAUGUAUGCUUGUAUAUGCAUUUGAACAAACACUCAUAAGAUAAUUCAUGCAUUCUAUUGUUUUAUGGUUAAUCUUUGAGGCUUGUAAGUAGAUCUGAACUGUUCUUCUUUUUUACAAUAUGGAAUGAACUGAAGGUCAUGCUAUUUUUUCUAUGGUGCAUUCUAACAGCAUUAUAUCUUUUUGUUUAUUUUGAUGUCGAUUGAUAGUGAGCCAACUGUCUUGCCAUUUCUUGAUUCUUCAGUUAGUGUGAGUGAAGUUGAAGCACUAUUUGAGCUAUUCAAGAGCAUUAGUAGUUCUGUAAUUGAUGAUGGGUUAAUAAACAAGGUAAUCUGCAAUGGUAUUAAUUUUUGCUUUUUCUUUGUCCUCAUUUCUUUUCUGUUUUGUUUCCUUUGUUUUUUUCUCUACUAUGAAAUUAUAUUUUUGGUUGAUCUUUAGAAGGCCCUAAUUUUUUUUUUCUUUAAAUUUAUCAAUAAAUACAGGAGUCCAUUGGAAUGGGAUUGCUAUUUUCAACUUGGUAUCAUCUGUGAUUUCACAGGGUUGUGCUUGUAUAUAACUUAAUACAGGGAUCCAUUGAAAAUGGUUUCAAAUUUUGACAAGAUAUUAUUUAUAAUUUUAAAGUCUUGCACUUUUAUAUCUCUUUCUCUCUCUCUCACACACAUACAUGACACUAAUAGGGAGAGAGAGAGAGGAGACAGAGAUUGGUCAUUGGUUGCGUAGCAUGAUGGUAUAGUGCAGCCUUCAUUAUAUUGUUUUCUAAUUACAACACUGCUGUUUCUUAACUUUACCUCCUGCUGAAUCAUAGCAACACUUCAAUAUCUUCAUUUCCAAGAUUGACAAAAUUUGUGUUUAUUUGUAGGUGCAUUUCUAUUUGCUUUUGUUCUAUUCUGUAGUUGUUUCUAUAGUAUUUAUGAAAAAGAAAGAUGUCCUUUUGUAGAUCUUUGCUCAAACGGAGCAUUCAAUGUUCCUCUUGUGUAUGCAGGAAGAGUUUCAAUUGGCUCUAUUCAAGAACAGAAAGAAGGAGAAUCUCUUUGCAAAUAGGGUAAUAUGUAUUGUUCUUUAUUUAUUCAUUUAAAUAUUUUCUAGAACAAGGUCUAAAUUAUGCUUACAAUAUGAUAUUGGUUCAAAACCAGUGAUGUGGGUUAUCUUUGGAGCUUACACUUGUUUAAGAUGUGGAAUAGAUUUUGUAGAAUGCCUAAGCUUAAAGUAAGGAGAGAGUUUUUAUUUUUUUUUUGUCCUUCUCACCUACUCUGGGCGUUUAUGAUAUACCUCAUGAUAUUGUGUGUGCUUUUUAUAUAUUUUCUCAUUUUCCUAUCAAAGGAAAAAAGGGAUGUGGGAUAAUGUUUGAAUGAUAUUUGCUGGUGUUUUUUUUCCUGUAUUUAAUCUUCUGGUCAAUGUUUUUUAUUGUAUUGCAUUAAAAACCAGCCUAUCAACCGGUUUUGGCAGAUGUUUUUUAUUUUACUUGUGGCUAGAAUAUGCACAUCAAAGAUUUUUUAUGCUUCUUUCCACAGCCUUUCACUUCAUGAGGUCAAUCGCAAAGUCUAGUUACUAAGUCAAAAAGAGUGAGAUUUCCUUAAUGGAUUCCUUUUUGAUUGACAUGGAUAUUCUAAUCCCUCGGAUAUGUGAUGAAGAUGUCUUGGUUUAGGUUUUUGAUGAAUGCCCAUGACUUGCGCAGUCCUAAGUCUAUCUCUAUGUAGGAUAUAAGGCUGUGAUUGAUUAAGAGUAGGACUUGGGCAGUUGUUUAACUAGGCUUCCGAGCUGAAGAUUUGCUUGACAAAGAGGAACUUUGAUCAAAACUUGCCAAAUUGGUUUCCAAAUUUCUGCAAUGGAGGGCUUAAAGAUCAAAUUCGAUAGAUCUGUUGAGAAAGGUUGAUUGUGUCUAAAGAUCAAAAAUACCAAAAAUCACCAAAAGAAGGAAUUCAAAAAUGUAAUAUGAAAAUACCUAGUGCUGGACUGUUUUGUUCUUUCAUUUUAAAUAAAGAAAUUAUUUGUAUCUGGAUGGAUCUCUUUAAUCCAUUAGGGGUGGUGAAGUGAGCUGUGAAUUUUAUUGCUGGAAUCAAUCCCUCACUUGGUCAGUACUGGAAGAAUUCCAGCCAAAUGGGCCCAUUAGGUGGGAAGGGGGGAGUUGAUUUCAAAGAAUUUUUUAAUGUGAUUAGUUAAACCUCUAAGAAACUUGAACUAUAUGCACUGCAAGCAUUAUUCUUUUCACCAUUUAAAUACUUCUAUUUGUUUUGAAAUUGGAAUAAUUUUUUAAUCAGAAAUUGGGAUCAUUAAACUUGCAGAUCUUUGAUCUUUUUGAUGUUAAGCGGAAGGGAGUCAUUGAUUUUGGUGACUUUGUCAGGUCACUAAAUGUUUUCCAUCCAAAUGCCCCACAAGAAGACAAAAUUGAUUGUAAGUUUACUUGACAUUUUAGGAUUGCUUUGAAUUGCAUGAACUGGAGUACUGUUAUGUGCAAUUGUUCUCAGUAUAUUUUAAUACAUCUUGUAUUUGACAUUAUAUUGCAGUUUCAUUCAAGCUCUAUGAUUUGGAUAGCACAGGAUUCAUUGAGCGGCAAGAGGUACCUUGAUGCUUUAUUUGUCAUGUCUAUUAUAUAUUUUUUCAAUUGGUCAAGAGAGAAAAUGUUAGAUGCUUAUGUUUUUUGGUUUUUGCCUCUUUUAUUGCCAAUUAUUUAUACAUCAUACAUACUUAUGCUUCAAAGGUCCCAAAGACAAAACUAUUUUCCUCAUUAGAAAUAGUAAAAUGCUUACAUGUUUUCUGUUUCUAAUCUAUCUUUGUCCUGUUUAUUACGUGUUCAUUUACCUGAGCCCAAGCUCACGGACGUGAUCAUCUGAAGAGAAAAUUACAAGACUUUUCUCUUGAUUGUUGUGUUGAUUCAAUUAUGUUUUAUUGAAACCUCUAUGUAGGCAUCUUCAUUCUAUUUGAUUUUGGCAGGUCAAACAAAUGUUAAUUGCACUUCUGUGCGAAUCUGAAAUGAAGUUGGCUGAUGAAACCAUCGAGAUAAUACUUGAUAAGGUGACUUGUUGAACUGAGCUAUAAGCAACCACAUAAUUCUCUUAGAGAAUUCAUUGAACAUGCUACAUUACCACGUCACAUGUUUUGUCCAGUCAAUAUAAACCAUUUAUAACCUAGAUAUAUCUGCCUAUUUGAGCAUUCAAGAUUGACAUCUGCCCAACUGGGUCAUCACAAAAAGGUCAAAUCCAUGAGGAUGAUGGUUGGAAAUUUAGGGGCUGUGUGAGAAGCUGGAUUCCAGUUGAACUGUAUAUGCUAUUGUCCCAUUGACGGGGAAUAAAGCAUAUGAAUAAAUCCUGUUGGUUGUCUCCUUUUUCAGGAAAGGAAAAUUUAACCUACCAUCACUUUCCAUGCUAACAGGACGCAAAAAGUGGCAGUUGAUCUAGGAAGUUGGCCUGAAUUUUUGGUUUCCUGAACAGUUCCUUUGGCCAUUUUAUUAGACAGGAAAUAUUCCUGGCGUUUCCAUUGGUUGGAGUGGGCAAAUUAACUUAUAUUUGUAGUACACACUCUAGGUCCUCAAUAGUGAUUUUCAUGAAUUGCAUUCCGAAAUAUCUCUCUCCUCAUAACUUUCAUGUCUUUCCUGUUGGUACUGGGUUUCUUUUUGCCUUUCUUUUCUUUUCUGCUAUUUGGUUGCUGAGAUUUUAGAAUUUGUCAACAGACGUUCUUGGAAGCUGACGUAAAUCAGGAUGGGAGGAUUGAUAAAUCUGAGUGGCAGAAUUUUGUUUCUCGGAACCCAUCAUUGUUGAAGAUAAUGACACUACCAUAUCUAAGGUGGGUAAUCACAAUGUUCUGGUCUCAAGCAUCAACAAUCAUCACAAUGAAGCUUUUUUUGACAGUUGAGUAAUUAAUAUGUUUGGGUGCAAAAAUGCAGGGACAUAACGACAACCUUUCCGAGCUUUGUGUUUAAUUCAGAGGUGGAUGAGAUUGCUACAUAAAGUAAAAAAGAGUGGCUGCUAGGUUUGGAAGACAUUUGCAGUUUGAUCCUUUGAAACCCAACUGUUUUACAUGAAAGAAAGAGUAGAUGAGUUUUGAUUUUGUUUGUUUAAGAGAAAUGCCAUCUACGUGUAUUUGCAAAAGGUUGUGGGUGGCUAUAAUUAGCUUUCAGUAGUUCUCACUUGUCGGUAAGUUGUAAAGCAUGUCACUACAAUAGAUAUCAAAGCCUUCCCAUACGAACAAUUUUACACAUAUGUGAUCAUUCUUAAUUCAAGUACAUCAGGCUGCCAUGUGUGAAAGCCGCUUUUACCUCUGCACAAUUCUUUGUUCCAGUGAAGGGGCGGUAUAAAAGCAUUUUUUACCCCAGAGAAAUUUCUUGUGACGUUGCUCUACAUUAAAAAUAGAACUACAGGACAUGGCAAUGAAAUGGGAUGUCUCCAACGAUGCAUUGGCCCUUAUUAAUGGUUAUGGCUAUUGCAUUCCUUACAGCUUCGGUCUAAUUUUUCAAGUUUUUAUAUUAAUUUUUUUUGAUGAUCCACGAUAUGAGAUUUUUAGACCAUGAAAUCCUUGAAUCACGACGACCUCUGCUUUAUUUUAAGCUUUGGGUUGUCGCUUGACGUUAGGAAAUAACCGGAUGUAAACGCAGUCCUUUUAGAUCAGAAAAGGCACAAAAGGAGAAGUGAAACUGUGAAACUCAAACGGCCGAAACUACGAGACCCACGACCUCAUUUUUUGUAGCGGAGUGUGUAGAGAUAAAUGCGUCUUUCUGAUAGGAAAAGAAGGCAAACGUCAAACACGACGUCGUUUUAGGUAGGAGCAAAAGGAGAGCGGAGAGACGGUAAAAGUGGACCUGAGUUUGGUGGCUUUGUGAAACGGAGAAAUUUGAGCGGGGAAAGUCCCGACGGUGUCGUUUUACGCCACAGCUGAGGAAGAGGAAAUGGACUUUUGAGCUCAUCUGGUCAGGUGCUAGGCUCUGAUCUACUACCAACCUUGAACAAUAAAUCGAACUCGCCAUCAGCUCGAUUAAGAGUUCCAAAUCAAAGAAGUAAAUUGAACUUGACUUAAGAUGAAGGAACCGAGUGCCCAAAAAAAACCGAUUUCUUAAGGCUUCAAAUCAAACUACUAGUCAUUCAGACGACUAUAAAAGAAAAGUAAGGAAGUCCUUUUCUUGACUUGGCUUGCAUGAUGUAUUCUUGACUUGGCUUGCAUGAUGUAGACAUUGUCCGCACGCGUCUACUUGGUUAAAAAGGAUCUCUACAUAUAUAGUGUUAGAAACUUUCUCUCCUAUCUGAUGUAGGACAUCACAAACGUGCAUUAUACCUACCCUUUUUAAAGAAGACCUAUACCCUUUGGGCCCAAGGGGACCCUCACGGCUUUAAAACGUGUCUACUUGGUUAAGAGGAGUCUCUACAUAUAUAGUGCUAAAAACUUUCUCUCUUAUCCAAUGUGGGACAUCACAUUUGUUGUCCUCUUACUCUUUUAGCUUGCCUUGUGGAGGCCUCUUGGGUGUCUACGGCAGAUCCAAUCAGUCUUGUGAGGAAGAUCAUGUGCCAUGGUGUUCUUAAUUUUUUAUUUAGUUUUGGCAUGGGUAAUUGAUAAUUAGAAUGUUCCUGAGGUGUAGGUCGCAUUUUGUCCAUACAUAAAUAUGGAUUAUACUGUUAUACCGGAACAAAUAAGGAGAAAAAUGUAUCUUGGAAGGAGUUCCACCAUGAUGAUAUGUUUUGAUAAAGCUAUGACAGCUCCCUGAUAGUUGUAUGUGACAAUAUGGCAUGCAUCAAUUAACUCCUGAACCAGUGAAGAAAUGGAGGAAAUCAUGUGCUACUGAUAGUAUAGAUUUGUCUAAGAAGAUGGAGUCUGAGUUAAAGGAAUGGGAGGGGUGUGGAGAUCAUAUCAUCCAGGGUGAUUCUCAUGCAGAUGAGAGCAGAUACACGGAAUGGUACUCAAGUAUAACUCAUAAAUGUAUAGGAAGACCAUCUCCUGUACCCCACCCAACAGCUCAAGAGUCACCAUAUUCUAUGCUGUACCCAACAACUCAACAAAAGUCAUCUUCUCUACCCAAGCUUACAAUUCAACAAACACCAUCUCCACUACCCAAUCCAGUGACUCAACAAAUUUCAUCUCCCUUAGCCCCCACCACACCUCAACAGAAGUCGUCUCCUGUAUCCAGCUCAACAACUCAACAAAUGCCACUUCCUCUAGCCAGGUCCACAAUGGGGCCAUCUCAUUUAUUGAGCUCUACUACUUAACAAAAACCAUCUUCUCCUCCCAGCUCAACAACCAUAGAAAAGUGUCCAUCCCCUCUAGCUACCCUCACAACUUAAUCAUGGCUAUCUCCUCUACCUGGCUCAACCACUCAACAAAGGUCAUCUCCUCCAUCCAUGACAACAACUCAACAUAGCUUUAAUCCCAAUCACUCAGGGACAUUUAAAACAUCUUCCCUUCUCUUAACUAAAAAUGCUAGAAUGGUAAAUUUACCAUUCAUUCAUAAAUAAGUUUUUGGCAUAUGUAUAACUUAGUUUAAUUAAUCAGACUGAUACUAUGCAGUCUGCUGCAUUGUGGGAGAUAGCUCACAUUGUAAAUGACUUCUCUACUGAAGGCUUCGAUUCCCAGCAAUUAAAAUUACUUUUGAGAUGAAAGAAUUAUUCUGUGUAUUAAUAAUGAGGCCAAACUAGGUGUGGAAGUUAAGAGACAAUGGAGUAGAAGAGGUUAUCGAAACUGAGGAUUGGGAGCAGACUCUGCUAUCACACUUGCAUUAUCUGGCUACUGCUUGUGUGGAAUCUUCACAAAACCCCAAACCCACCUUAGAUGAGGACCCCUCUGUGAAUAUUGCAGCUUCANNNNNNNNNNNNNNNNNNNNNNNNNNNNNNNNNNNNNNNNNNNNNNNNNNNNNNNNNNNNNNNNNNNNNNNNNNNNNNNNNNNNNNNNNNNNNNNNNNNNAUGAGGACCCCUCUGUGAAUAUUGCAGCUUCAAUUGAAAGUUCUCCUCAACCUCUUGUUCAGAUUCCUCUUGUAUGGCCUCUCAAUGGCAUUUUUAACCCAGAAUUGGAUCCAAGAUGUCAUGUCUGCCUUGAGUGGUCAUCCUGGUAUCUCUCUCGCUCAGAAUUCCCCUCCAUCUUGCCCACAUGUGUGUUUGAUAGUCUCCUUGUAUCAGCGUCAAGGAUUCUGCUGAAGGAGCCAAAUUGUGUGAGAAUUGAUUGUUUUGAGGGGGACUUGGGUGUGGUUGUAAUUGUUGAUAUCCAUGGGCAACUGCACAAUCUCAAUUUUCUUUUCUAGGAUGCUGGUUUUCCUUCGCAAAAACUCAUCUUUGUUUUCAAUGGAGACCAUAUUGGUGUUGGAUGGGGUCUCGAGACACUUUUACUUCUGUUGGUAUGGAAGGCAAAAUUAGAAUAGUGAUAUUCAUUUUGAGGAGUGAACUUUGGUUUAAAGUGGAACUUCAUGUGAUUUCCCAAAAGGAAUUUGUUCAAGUGCUUAACAGUAUGAUUUUGAUGUUAAUUUGAAAUGAAUAUUAAGAACUUGGUACUUUUUUAUCAUUAUUAUUGCUAGUAAAGAGAAUAAUACAUGAAUAGUCUUUGUAGGUAAUAUUUAGCUUUUCCUUCAUUUAUUUUACAAAAUUUGUGUUUUGUAAUGCACUUUACAAAAUUUGUUAGGUAAUAUAUUUUGAGUUUUGAUGCCAGGUUCUUAUGCCACAUAGGGUAUAUCUGCUUAGCAGAAAUCAUGAAACCAAGCUGUGUGUCUGCAUGUGCGCUUGAAGAAGAGGUGAUGACAAAAUAUGGAGAUCAAGGGACACGCAUCUACUGUAGAUGCUCAGAAUAUUUCUCAAAACUUCCUUCAGCCUCAAUUAUAGCUGGGAGUGUUUAUACCAUACAUGGAGGGCUUUUCCGUAGAAUGCCUAUUGCUCCAAUAAGUCCUCCAAAAUGAAUAAUUUGGAGAAGUCCAACAUUAUGUGGAGACUCUGUCUAUAGGUUCUUUGGAAGAAUUAUCCAAAGCAAGGAGAUCAGUUCCAGGUCCUCAAAGUUUGGGAAUGAACUUAAUUUCUGAUGCAUUGUCAUCAUAUCCUUCAAUGGAGAAUGGCCUUAGACCAAACUUAGAGAGAGGAGUCUAUUCUGGGGUCCUGAUUGCAAUGAGAACUUCUUAAAGAAGUCAAAUUUAAAGGCUACUUCAUAGACUUAAUUCUUGUUUCUGAACUCCUCAUAUGCCAAAUUAGAAUUUGUUUCUCCUUUCUGUAUGAGUUCUAGAAAUAACCAGUUCAAAAAGUUGCAAUACUAAUGUCAGGAUGAUGUCUUUUAUGGUUCCCACAGUUGAUUAUUAGAUCACAUAAAGGCCCUGAAGCUAGGGAAAAUGACAAGUUCUUGGUAGGAUAGAUGAAGGAUACUCUAUAGAUCAUGAAAUAGAAUCAGGGUAACCAAUCACAUUCUUUCCAGUGCUCCAGGUCGUCCAUUGUUUCAGGUUUGUUAUUUCACCCCACAUUUUUCUUAGUUAUAUUAUUCAUACUGUUGUUAGUCUUGUUCUCAUAUGGAGUGUCUUCACAACUCAACAUUUUGAAUCUCUUGUUUUACAGCUUUCCUUCGCACGCUAAUUUUCUUGUGCAAAAGUAGAAUGUUAUAUCAUCAGAGAUGCAUAGGAACAGAAAAUUUUAAACAUGCAUUGGAACAUAAAUUUUUGAGAGAUUAAUCCAGAUGCUUCUCUCCAUCAAAGGAUCAAUACUUUAUACCCUGUGUGGAUAUGCAUGAAAUGGGAACUUGUUAUAUAUACAGAGGAUUAACAAUUGCCUCUUUACCUUCCUAGCUUACACUUCUAUGCUUACUUCAGCCAAUAAUCAUAUGGAGUGAUUUCAAAAUUUUUGUAAUUGAAAUUCUACGCAUUGAAUUUAUCGAUAUUUAAUGAUAAGGAGGCAUACAUUGUACUGAAGCCUCCUACUUUUGAUGAUCUAGUUUUCCACACUUUUGAAGCUGCUACCCCAGGAGCAAAGGUAUAGAAUCUGGCAACAUAUUUAUAUAAAACAUCAUACAAUUUGUCUUCCAGUUGCAUAUAAAACAUAAUGCCCAUCUUAGGCAGGGUGUUUGCUCAAUUAAAGCUAUGAACUCACAGAUUUGUUGCCAACAGGAUGAAAGAAACAAAGAAAGUCUAGCAGGUGAGGAGAAGAGCAUCUACUCAGAAAUUUGUCACCAGCAGAAUGGAAGAAACAAAGAAAGUCUAGCAGAUGAGAAGAAGGAACAGAGAAACAGAAGAAGAAAAGAAAGUCAAGGUGAUGAGAGGACAAGCCGAAGAAAUUCCAAACAGCACCAAAAGAGAAAAGACCUUAUGGGAGAGAUUAUUAAACAACUACACUUUGGCAGCUGAGAGGAGAAAAUAUCAUAGUUAGUAGAGACUAGAGAGUGCCUUCAUCACCCAGUCUUGUCAGUUUUGGAGCUUGAUGGUGGAGCUGAUUGACAUGGUCUUUUUCCAAGUACGAGAAAUCGCUGGCUGCUGUCAGUUUGAUGAUAUUGUUAUUCUUGCAGAAGGUGUCCAGGAAGUUGUUAGAAAUUUAAGCUGAAGCUGCUCCCCUUGUGCACUGCUUGACAGACCUUAUAAACUAUGAAUGCCAAACUCAGAGGAGGUGCUGCAGGAGACUCGGUUUGGAGAUGGGCUAAGAAUAUCAGAAUCUUCUUGAGUUUGCAUCCCAAAACAACUGAAGCUUGUGUGUGCUGUGAUUAGCUGUUAAACAAUAGUGUUACCUACAGGUUAUUUAUCUAAUUCCUCAGCAUUCUACUUUCAUCAUGUCAGUGGGCAGAUCCUUGUAGUAGAACAGUUGCAAGGCUUUCCCUUUUUUCUUUUCUUUUUUAAUUAUUAUAUAUUUGUAGAAACAUAAAAAUAUUAUCAGUUUAAUUGUAAUAUUAUGAAUAAAACAAAUUAAAUGCAUAUUUUAAAAUUAAUUAAAUUAAUAGUUUAAUUAUUAUUUUUUGUUAUAAAUAUGUGGGCAUGUAUGUGUGUCAACAAAAAAGGAAAAAAUAUAUAAGAAAAUGAUAUGUAUGUGAAAAAAUAAAAAGACAAAAAGGGAAAAUAUGUGUUUGUGUAAAAAAAAAAAGAAAAAAGAAAAAAAAGUGUGAAUAAGAAAAAGGAAAUCGACCUAGUUACAGGACAACAGUUCAAAAAUUGGGCCGGCCCAUACUCAGCCCAUUAUUACCCAGCCCCAAUUUCUGUUUGGACCAAAAAGCACCCAAUCAUCCCUUCCCCAAAACUCUCCCUUUCAGUGUGCACGAAAGCGCAUUCAAUCGUUCUUUCUCCAAAACGCUGCGUCUCGGUUGAUCACGAGUUCAAGGUACUGUUGCAAUCCCUUUUUCCAAUUCAAUCAAUCCACUUCCAGGUUAGAUACAAUCGUUUGGAUGUUGAGAAAAUAACGAGAAAUUUUUUUUUACCUUCUAGGGUUCGAGAAUGCAGAAUUGCACUUUACCUAAAACUUAUAAGACAUUUUGGCAUGGUUGAUUUGGAUUUUUUGAUUCUCAAUUUUUUUUAUUAUUAUUUUCUUGUUUUGGAUUUUUGGCAGCAAAGAAAAUCAGAGAGAUAACAUAGUUAUCAAAUUCUGGUUUUCUUCUAUUUUUUCUCAUUUUCAUGGUAAUAAACUGAGGGUUAGAUAUCACUUAGUGUUUCAUAAGUUGGAUAUGCAAUUGGGUUGUCUUUGAACACCGGAGGAACUAUUGCCAGUUUGGAUAACAGCCUAGACUGAAAUUUUUGUUAGAUUAACGGUCUUUACUAUUUGGCAAAUUUUUAAUUGUAUAAAAAUAGAUUUAGUUUAGGAACAGAGACAAUAUGAAAAAAUUAAUUAAAUUUUCACCAAUGAUGAUUUGAAUUGUAAAAUUUUCAGGAUCAGUGAGUUGGGAACAUGGCACUUUACUUAAAAUUCACAUAGAGGCUUUUUCCUUUUCCCUUUUUUUUUUGUUUGAUAAUUGUGGGUGUUCGGGCCAGCUUAUGCGCACCUCGACUAAUCCCGUGGGGCCAAGAAGUUAACAAUCAGGUAAAUUCUCCAGUAGCCCUGAUGGGACUUGAACUGGUGACCAUUGGGGAGCAAACCUAGGCCAGACCAAUUGAGCUACACCUCAGGGUUUUUUUCCUUUUUCCUUUUUUGGAAGCAAAAGAUGAGGAAUGGGUUGUUUAGUUUUACUGCUUUAUUUUCUUGGAAACAAAAUAGAGGGUUAGGGUUUCUCUUUGAAUGCUUUUAACCUCUCAGUGCUAUUGUUGAAAAUUUUGAAUUCUAGGAUUUCAUUUUGGACUACAGCUCAAGCUAGAAUUUUUAUAAAAUUAAUUAUNNNNNNNNNNNNNNNNNNNNNNNNNNNNNNNNNNNNNNNNNNNNNNNNNNNNNNNNNNNNNNNNNNNNNNNNNNNNNNNNNNNNNNNNNNNNNNNNNNNNNNNNNNNNNNNNNNNNNNNNNNNNNNNNNNNNNNNNNNNNNNNNNNNNNNNNNNNNNNNNNNNNNNNNNNNNNNNNNNNNNNNNNNNNNNNNNNNNNNNNNNNNNNNNNNNNNNNNNNNNNNNNNNNNNNNNNNNNNNNNNNNNNNNNNNNNNNNNNNNNNNNNNNNNNNNNNNNNNNNNNNNNNNNNNNNNNNNNNNNNNNNNNNNNNNNNNNNNNNNNNNNNNNNNNNNNNNNNNNNNNNNNNNNNNNNNNNNNNNNNNNNNNNNNNNNNNNNNNNNNNNNNNNNNNNNNNNNNNNNNNNNNNNNNNNNNNNNNNNNNNNNNNNNNNNNNNNNNNNNNNNNNNNNNNNNNNNNNNNNNNNNNNNNNNNNNNNNNNNNNNNNNNNUGUGAAUUUUGCUUCACCCACAUCAUAUGUUGCUGAAAUUUUUGUUUUUGUGUGUGUGUGCGUGUUUUGUUUUUGGUUUUCUCAUAAACCAAACAAAACCAAUUAGUAGUUUUUGGGACUUUGUUCUUUUAUAUGGAACUUUUAGAUUGUCAAGUUCACUGCUUACUGGCUCUUAAACAAAAGGCUAAGGAUCUCAUACUUCAUCAUACUGAUUCAUUUUUUCAUGAAACUGAAACCAGCUGAGAUUGUUAUGAGAUUGACACAAUGUUCAGGUGCAACUCUUUUUUUUUUUUCACAAUAAACAUGGUUAUUUAUUUAUUAUUAUUACUAUUUUACUUCUCGAAUUUGUGGGCAAGUCUUUUUUUUUAGAUGACUUGAUUCACAAUUUUCCAAGUUUUAUCCAAUGUUGGAACCCAAGUGUAUUUUUAUUUUUAUUUUAUCAUUUUCUCUUGCCUCACAAAAUAUUUGAAUAUUUGUGUAUAUGGUUGCCAAAUUCGUAACAAUAUCCAUGCUCAAACUUGUUCCCUGAUUUAAAUCUUUUUUCCCCUCAAAUUUUAGCUGCCUAUUGUAAAUUGAUUCAAGAUGGCUAAACAAUUCCAAUUUUGAUUGUUUAUUCAGUCAUUAGUGGUGGCCAAAUUUUGAAAAACUAGCUUCAUAUAUUAAAGGCAAUGUCAUAUCUAAUCAACAAUAGUUGGGCAAAAAAUGUAAACUUUGCUCUUAACAAUUCCAAUUUUGAUUGAUUAUUCAGUCAUUAGUGGUGGCCAAAUUUUGAUAAACUAACUUCAUGUUAAAGGCAAUGUCAUAUCUAAUUGACAAUAGUUGAGCAAAAAUGUAAACUUUGCUCUACUACCAACAACAUUGAUUUUUUUUUUUUUUUUGUGAUAUAUAAAUGUCAUACGCUUUCACUACAUUUGUAUUGGUAUUUGCAGAAACUUUGUACGGGGAUAGAGGGAAGAAUAGAACACACACAAAAAAAAAAAAAAAAGGAAAAAAUUUCUUAGCAUGAGCUUUAUGAACUAACAUUUAUAAUUAUAAUAACAACAGAGAAUAGAAAGGGUAUGCCUUUGGUGGUUCUGUAAAUAAAAUGUUACAACUCAUAUUUCUCUUGUUUCUUCUUGGGUAUGACUAUGAUAUUGCUGAGCUCAUUGGUUUUAGAUGUUUUCUGCCCUCUUGUUUUCUAGUUUGGUAUAACUGUAGUAUAAUUCACCUAUUGGUUUUAUGAUUUAUUCUUUUUGAUACUAAAGAUACCUUGUGCUUUAUCCAGGUUAGUUCUUGAAACAGAUUGGUAGUCAAAUCUUUGUUGAAACAAGAUGUGGCACGAUGGAGUUUCUAGAUGGGUCAUAACUUAUUAGAUAUAUUUUGAAUUAUGAGGACUACCACUCAUGGGUUAAGGCAGCUACCAAUGUAGGUCUGGUAUGUAGAAUGUAAGACCCUUUUAGUGGUGCUUACAAACUAUUGUGAUUCUAAUGGUCUAUGAAUGGCACUAUCAUUGAGAAAAGUGAUCAGUGUCACGAAGAGUUGUUUAUUUGUAAGAUGCUUGACUUCAAUUGGUCGGAAGACUGUCUUAAGGUCAAUUGAUCACAAAAGCUUACUGGAUAGAAACUAUUUUCAAAGGGUUAUAGGAUCAGAUGUGCACCAUAAAAUGUGUCAGAACGUCUCCCUCCAGCAUUUCUCUAUCAGUAGUCAACCAGAGUUGAUAUGUUGGGAAGGUUCCUGUCAUGCAGUUUUAUUGAGAAAGCUUGAAAUUGCUUUGAAGGAUCAUCAAGUAGAUGAAGCAUGGGAAACUUUCAAGGAUAUUAAAAGGUUGUAUGGAUUUCCUAGCCAUUCUCUGGUGAGUAGGUUGAUCACUGAAUUGUCUUACUCUUCCAAUCCACACUGGCUUCAAAAAGCAUGUGAUUUAGUUUAUUUAAUUCUUAAAGAGAAAUCAGAUUUACUUCAUUCUGAUUCUCUGACUAAGCUCUCCUUGUCCUUAUCAAGAGCUCAAAUGCCUAUCCCUGCCUCUAUGAUCCUCAGAUUGAUGCUUGAGAAAGGGAGCGUGCCCCAAAAGAAUGUGCUGUGGUUGAUCAUUCUGCAUAUGGUAAAGACAGAGAUAGGGACGUAUCUUGCAUCCAAUUACUUGGUUCAGAUUUGUGACCAUUUCCUGCUUUUAAGUGCAAGCAAAUCCAAUCAUGCAAAACUUAUAAAGCCUGACACAAUGAUUUUUAACCUUGUUCUUGAUGCUUGUGUGAGAUUCGGAUCAUCCUUCAAAGGCCAGCAGAUCAUAGAGUUGAUGCCACAAGUAGGGGUUGGCGCUGAUGCACACUCUAUCAUUAUUAUUGCCCAGAUCCAUGAGAUGAAUGGUCAGAGGGAUGACUUGAAGAAAUUUAAAUGCCAUAUUGAUCAAGUUUCAAUUCAGUUGGCUUGUCAUUAUCGGCAAUUCUAUGAUAGUUUGCUGAGCUUGCAUUUCAAGUUUAACGAUAUUGAUGGUGCUGCUGGGCUUGUGUUAGAUAUGUGUAGAUGUUGGGAUUCUCUUUCUAUUCAGAAAGAUAGGAAUGAUCCUCAUAAGACUUGCCUUGUUCCAAUUGGAUCUUAUUAUCUCAAAGAAGGCUUGAAAUUACAGAUUGUGCCUGAGCUGCUUCAGAAGGAUUCUGUCUUCAAAAUGGAUAGUAAACAGGAACUUCUGUUGUUUAGAAAUGGGAAAUAUGUUCUUAGUAAUAAGGCCCUUGCCAAGCUUAUCAUUGCAUACAAGAGAGAUGGUAGGAUUGGUGAGCUUUNNNNNNNNNNNNNNNNNNNNNNNNNNNNNNNNNNNNNNNNNNNNNNNNNNNNNNNNNNNNNNNNNNNNNNNNNNNNNNNNNNNNNNNNNNNNNNNNNNNNNNNNNNNNNNNNNNNNNNNNNNNNNNNNNNNNNNNNNNNNNNNNNNNNNNNNNNNNNNNNNNNNNNNNNNNNNNNNNNNNNNNNNNNNNNNNNNNNNNNNNNNNNNNNNNNNNNNNNNNNNNNNNNNNNNNNNNNNNNNNNNNNNNNNNNNNNNNNNNNNNNNNNNNNNNNNNNNNNNNNNNNNNNNNNNNNNNNNNNNNNNNNNNNNNNNNNNNNNNNNNNNNNNNNNNNNNNNNNNNNNNNNNNNNNNNNNNNNNNNNNNNNNNNNNNNNNNNNNNNNNNNNNNNNNNNNNNNNNNNNNNNNNNNNNNNNNNNNNNNNNNNNNNNNNNNNNNNNNNNNNNNNNNNNNNNNNNNNNNNNNNNNNNNNNNNNNNNNNNNNNNNNNNNNNNNNNNNNNNNNNNNNNNNNNNNNNNNNNNNNNNNNNNNNNNNNNNNNNNNNNNNNNNNNNNNNNNNNNNNNNNNNNNNNNNNNNNNNNNNNNNNNNNNNNNNNNNNNNNNNNNNNNNNNNNNNNNNNNNNNNNNNNNNNNNNNNNNNNNNNNNNNNNNNNNNNNNNNNNNNNNNNNNNNNNNNNNNNNNNNNNNNNNNNNNNNNNNNNNNNNNNNNNNNNNNNNNNNNNNNNNNNNNNNNNNNNNNNNNNNNNNNNNNNNNNNNNNNNNNNNNNNNNNNNNNNNNNNNNNNNNNNNNNNNNNNNNNNNNNNNNNNNNNNNNNNNNNNNNNNNNNNNNNNNNNNNNNNNNNNNNNNNNNNNNNNNAAAACAGUUUUGGUCCCUUGGGCUUGCUAAUGUCUAUCUUGAACUUGUGUGGAGACGACUGAAGCUGAAAUGGUUAAAGUAAAGAAGCAAAGCAAGCAAAAUGCAAGGUCAGGGUGGGUACCAAUUUCUUAACACUUCCCAAAUUACAAGGAAAGAUGUUGAAAACUGGAUAUCAUUAACUGGCCCAAUCCCAAGAUAGCCUAACUGCUGUGGAACUUCAUUCUGGAUGAUCCCGCAAUGUGAAACACUAUCAAUUGUAGGUUUGUAAACUUAUCUAAUCUAAUCAGGAGAUGGUUUUUGGAGGGAGCACAAAAUUGUGGUCUGUGAGGAGUUAACAGAAAAUGGUGUUUGGUGCUCCAUGUUAUUUGCCCGCAAAAAGCUAUUGUGAUUACUGAGUUCUUGCGGGUGGAAUUAAGGAUGAAGAAUCCCUGGAAUUAGAAGGUGUACUGGUACCUCACCAUUUUUCUCAUUCCUUUUUCAUGUGAUCGUAGUUGCACAUUCCCGCAGCUAAUAUUAUUUGAAUUUCCAUGAAUAUAAUUUAUGUCAUUCUGAAUAUAAAAGGCUUUGGGUUUUUCCAAGUAUGUAGUGAGAAUACCUGGUUAUUAUUCCUGUAUUUAGUAAUAAUACAUAUAUGAAUUAGGGAGAUUAAGGUCAGCAUUUCUCCUACCAACUAUAGAAAUCUUAACUGUUAAUCACGCUUUGAGAAUUAAAUAUGAUAACCACUGGUUUAUUGAGAAUUAAAUAGAAAUUUAUUCAGAGUUCAGACACAGUUGUAUUGUGAGUCAGUUUUGAGGACUCCUAAACCUUAGUUUAAUUGAGUCUUAUUACCUGGGACACAGUCAUUAAUAUUAAUUGAUUCCUGGUACCUGUUAGAAAGUCAUCAAUAUACUAUUUUUAAAAUCAAUGGGAAAAGAGUUUCUCCCCUUGGAAGAGAGACAUGGUCAACCAAAUUUUUUUAUUUUUUUAAAUCUGAAAGUUCAAAAUUUCAUCUCUUCAAGGAGGGUGGUCAUGUUUCAUACCUUUCAAACUCACCAAAGCAGGGUUAAUGGUGCUAAACUUGAAAUUUUGUCAUGCCUUCUUCCAAUAAAACUGACUCAAUCCAAGCUUUUUCUAGUUCUAAAAAGAUGGAUGAUCCACACCAGCAAAAAGAGUAGGCCUAAUUAAAGAACUUGUUAAUUAACUCAAAGUUUAGGAGAUUAAUAUCACUAAUGGUUUCUCCUUCUCCUCAGAAACAAAAACAGCAACUUCACCAUAUAUCUCUCUCUCUCUCUCUCUCUCUCUCUCUCUCUCUAUAUCACACUAAAAGUCUUGGAUUCAUACGUAUGGAUCAUGCAUGCAUGUCAUGGCAGGCCACGUCUUCACGUCCUUCUCAAAUAUAUAUAUAAGGACCAAUCAAAUAGAUUAGGUAAAUGCUGAAUAUUAUUAAAAAGAUAUUAAAAGAGUCAAUUAGACCCCAUGAUAAGCAAUCGGAGUCGAAUUAAAUGGCGAUUGAAAUUAAUUAUAAAAUAUAACAAGUUGGGUGGUACAUGCCUGAUGAGAAAACAACUACACCAAUCAAUUAAUUAUCGAUUUCCAGCUAAUAAAUACUGAGUUUUUUUACAUACCAACCAAGAUCCUCGCCUUCAUUCCUUCAACCCUACAACCAAAAUCUAAGAAGAAUGUACAGAUUUGAUUUAAGAUUUUGUGUUCCAGUUAUCAUAAACAUUCUGAAAUCCCAAGUUGGAUGGGAUCCAUUCGACACAAUUGGUCAUCCCACUUGGACGAAAAUCGGUUGCUUUCUUCUUAUUAUCGUCGCAUUCUCUUUCACCUCCAUUGAAGUGCCCCUCACCUGUUCCGUCAUGGGAGGGUACAUGCAUCUCCGUGUGGUGGGAGAGUUCUCCGUGGCUAUCACUGUAUCAAUGGUGGCCUCUUUCACUUUCCCUCAGGCAUUGUUUUGGUACACUUAUCCUAUUAUCAUACUGGUGUCUGUUAAGUAUGCUUGGGUUCUCAAUGUGUGGUCAAGUGCUUUCUGGGGUGGCUACAGGCAAUGGCCAUUAGUGCUCCGGUUUUUAAUAUUAUGAUCAGUGCAACUCAUCAACAAGAAGAAGAAGACGGGCUAAUGAACAGUUCAAAAGAUGGAGCUCUCAAAGCUAUUAUAGUGGAGCAAUAGGGCAGCCAUUGACGAGUUCGAAGUUGUUGCUUUCAAGUGCCUAUGGUUUCAGCUAGUCAUUUUUUUAGAGCUUUACUGGAGGAUGCUUCUGGAUACAGUUGUAUGCACUUGGUAUAAAAAUUAUAUUUUGUAUUAAUUUUAAAACCUGAUUUAAAAUUAAAAAAUUUAACCCAAGCACUACUAAAAUUUUUUGAAUAAAAACCAAUUGAGAAUAACUUUUUUAUUUCUCCUUUGCAUAUAAUUAUAUUUUUAUGAAUUUUCUAAUUAGACAAUGGAUAUGAAAUUAAGUGAAACUUAACAUAUUAGAUUUAUUGAUGAGUUUAUUAAUUUUUUAAAAAUAAUUUGGAGCUCAAAAAUUGGUUCACUUAGUACCAUAAAAUCAAAUAAUUAUAGAUUCUUUAAUAGAUCAAAACUGUUAUACUGUCCAUAAGCAAAUGGGAUCUAAGUUGAAGACAAAAUCAAAUGAGACUUAAUUUUUUAGAUUCUUAAAUGAAUUUAUUAAUUUUUAAGAAUGAUUUUUAAAUUUAAUAAAUUGACCUAAUAUAUACCAUAUUAAAAAAUUAGUUUAAUUUUAAAUAAAAUACUAUUAACCAUUAUUAUUUUUACAUUAUUAAUAUUCAUUUUAAAAAAUCAAUUGCCAUUAUUAUUGAGGCCUCGUGUCCCUGGUGAUUCACGUAGUUGCCAAAAUGGAUGGACGCACGAUCUCAACCAAUAUAGGUUCUUGAUUCAGUCGUUCCACCUGCAAAAGGCGUCCGGAUGGGGGGUCCGGACGCACCCUUCGAUGGUUUUGUCAGACAUGGUCAGAGAGAGAGAUAAAUCAGUUGACCUUUUACUAGGUAUAGCAAGCUUACAUUCCUCUUUGUGUGAAGGUUGAUAUAUAUAGUAUCAGAAGCUUUGAUUCCUUCUUCAAUGGUGGGGAGAUAUUUCAUGUUGUCAUGAUGACACUAGGUGGUGGCAGGACCAUCAUCACCCUACGGGCAGUUUGACAGAGAUCGUGGUAGGUGAUGCGGCUGUCAGAGAUCAUGAUAGGUGAUGAUGUGAAAUGAUUGUGGGAAGUGACUUAUUGUCACUUCAUCUUGUCCCUUCACUCUGCAGGUGGCGGACGUGGGCCAUGACAGGCUGUUGUGAUAACGUGUAAGACUUGCUUACUUCAGUCAAUGAUCCGGACAAUUAUACUCGGAUGACUUAUGCUGGUCAUCCGGAUGUACUUGUGGAAUCCAUCCGGAUGUUCUAUGCUUAUAAGUGUCGUUUGAACUUCCUUGAGGCGAUCCGGAUACGAAAGGCACGUCACGUGUAUCUGGAUGAGGGUGAUCCGAUGGUAAUGUGUGUCACGUGUCACCAUGAGGUGCGUGACACGUGUUCUCAGGAAGAGGGGUCCCUACAAUUAUGAAGCCAUUAAUAUUGAUAUUUUAUGAAGUGACACCUUACACCCAAGAGUGAGUACUAUUGAGUAAGGUAAGGUCGAAUUUGAUGCUUAAAAUGGUUCAUGUUUGAGUUUGUUGGUGGUAGGACGUGCAACACAUUUUUUCAACACUUGAGUGGAUUAAUACUUAUGAGCUCAACAAGAAGGCACAAGCUCAUACCAGGGGGAGUCCUUGACAUUGAGGCUAGCCUAACUAAGGGCCAGGUGGCAAGCACCAGGUCGUAAGCAUAUGGGCAACAAUCUGCCCCUAAUUGCAAGGUAGCAUGGGCUAUGAGCUUCGAGGAGGGUUGACACUGAUCAUGAGGCAUAAACUUCAUGUGGCUAAGGGGAGAUAACAACAAAGGAACUUUGAAUCAGUCAUGCGACACGUGACAAAUGGAUGAAGAAAUGAGGUCAUUGAGGUGGUUGAAGAUCCGUGAAUUCAAAGAGGAUUAUUAUUAUAGAUGUGCUAUGCAGUUGGUUGAUAAAGCCUAUAAAGGUGUCACUAACCAUUUAAAGCCAUGAACUCAAUGGAGUGAACAUGAGUCUAAUCAAGUGUUCAUAUAAACUAUGUAAAGUAAUACAAGUUGAGGGGAAAAAAAAUGACCUUGUAAUCUUAUUGCCUUUAGAGUCUCUUUGUUUUUAAAUUUUCCUUGUGCAAUCUUAUCCCUUCAAUUUUUUCUUUUUAAAAUUUUGAAUCAAAAUUAAUUGCAAAAUGAAUCCAAAAUUAACGUAUCCAUAAUUACGAAUUAAAUGUGUAUAUAUAUAUAUAUAAUAAAAAGCUUGACUUAAUUACGUAUUAAAAAAACUUUGUUGAAUUUGGAAUUUAUUUUUAAUAAAAUAUUAUUAAUCAUUAUUACUUUGAAAUUAAUAUUAUUCAUUUUUUAACAAAAAAAAAUCACUUUUCUUCAUGAACACAUUAAUAAUAAUAUUUUAUAAUACAUAAUAAACUAGUAUCAACGUUUAAUAAAAUAUAAUAAAAAAUUAUUUAUUUUUAUUUUUAAUUAUAAACUUAUUUUGAAAUUAAAUAAAUCUUGAAUUAAAUUCAAUUAAUAUUCCAUAAAUUGGAUUUAAAAUUUUCUUAUGAAAUCAAAAUAGAAAACUUGUUUUUAAGAACAACUAAAAUUUAUUAAUCCAAGCGUGGUUUAAUUUUUUUUGAAAUGUGUUUUUAGAAACUACUUACCAAACACAAUCUUUCAGAAAAUAUAAAAAAACAUUAACUUAAAAAUAUACUUUUUAAAAAAAAAUAAGUUUUAGAAAACAUGAUUAAAAUAACUCUUAAUAUGUAAAAUAACUUGCCAAAAGUCAAAGUAUCGGUCCAUAAGUAUUCAAUAGAGAUGCAAAAUUUUAAAACAAUUUAAGAAAAAUCUCAAAUUUUAAAUUUGAAACAAAUACAGAAGUUUGGAUGAUUUUGAGGCUUGGUUUUUAAGUCCAUCAAUUAACCAUCCAAAUGGGUGUUUGAAACAUGGUUGGCUUAUUGUGAGUACCUUAACUCAAACGAUGCCACCAAGGCUUUAUGGAGUGACACCAUACAUUUAAGAGAGUGCCUAUUAAGAAAGGCAAGGUGGAAAUUGACGUCUCAAGCUUGAUGACACCAAGGGCAAGUCACAAGGGACCUUGAACAUUAGUAAUGCACAUGGAUGAGUCUUAUUAGCUCACAUACAUAAGCAUAAUGCCAUGGGUAUGGUGGAACCUUGGGCACAACAACAUGGGCAUGAUUAUGGUACACAUAUGAGCAAGGUUGACUUAGGUUACACUAAUAAUUAAGUGGGUUGAUACAUAUAUGAGCCAAAAUAGAAACAUGUGGUUGUGGGCUAAAAGAUGGUUUAACACCGAGACAUAUUGCUCACGAGGACCAAGAAAGGGUUUGACAGGGACAUGAGUUGCUUAGACACAUAGACAAUAGACUAAUACCUACAAGGGGGCUUGACUAAACUAAUGUUUGUGACUUCAACAAUAAGGCACAAGUUGACACUGCGUAUAGCGAACCGCUAAAGCCCUCCCCCCCUUCCAACUACCGCGCCUAGCACACUAGAGACUGAGGAAUGUUCGAGCUGAGCAAAGACUUCAAAGUUAGUUCAGGCUGACCUCUAAACUAACCAAAUCGUGCAGAACUUCAUCGAUAAGGGUGCUUGCCUUAUCAGAGUCAACCUUCUCUCGAUUUAAACAAAAGCAACUACAUGAACAACGCCUUCCGGUGACAACGUAAAAAAGAAAUUAUUGUAGUUCUGCUUCUCAUUCUAAAAAGAGAGAUUUGUCGGAAAUAGUCGGUUGGAUUGGUCUAAUCAAGAAAGGCAUGGGAGUCUUUGGGCAUUGCUUGAUCUAAGUCAAGCUUGGGCUGAGUUAAGUAAAGACUGACCAUAAACGAGAGUCUUAGCAUUGAGGCUAACCUAGGCAAGGAAGACACCUUAGCAUUAGGGCAAACACAAGAAAAAGGUUGUUAAAAAAGUCUUUGCACAUGAUGAGCAUCUAGUGGCUGAGUUAGGAAGAUACUUAACAACGAUUAAGUCAAGCAUCAAGUGGCAAGUACAUGUGUAGCGCGUUGCUCCUAACAUUGAAUGAGGUGUGUAGACCCCCCGAACAGUAGCAUUCUUUGGGGUGAUAUUGCUUUUAUUGAUUUAUGCUUCUGACGACCCGGAAAUGAGGCUGGUGGUGGCGGCAAGAUGGGACAUAAGACUGAUGUGGGUUGCCUAGGGCAGAAAGAAGGAGAGGCUGGCCAGCAGAGAAAAGAAAAGGAAAAGGGAAAAAGAGGGGCGGCAGCUUGGAGCAGGGCAGAGUAGAGAAAGAGGGGAGGGACUCAGGCAUUUUUCUGAUUUGUUCCCGCUAGGAGAGAGCUCUUCCAGGUGCGAAUAUUAUGGAUCUUCUGUUUGCAUUUUCUUGUUGCAUUGUUCUUCAUGCAUUUUCCUUGAUGUCUUUAGCUUUUAUUCACUGUUUGGAUGCAACUUUUCUGCUACUCUCUCGUUUUUUUUUUAUGAUUUUCACUUAAGGAUAUUUAUGCAUAUGAGAGCAUCAGAAUCAUACAUAUAUUCUUUGUCCUUCCCUGUACGUGGAGCUUGGAGCAUGCAUGGAUAUCUCUAUCUCUCUCUACCCGCACCCUCAUGCAUGUGUCCAUCUAAACAUAUCGCCUAAAACCCAUUCUUUCUCUGUAUCCUCAUGUCCUUCAUCCACUCAUACCCUCCAUUUUUCCUCCUCAUUUUCCUCUCAUUUUUCUCACCCCUCAAAACACUAGAAGAAAACGUCUACCAGGACAGCAGCCGGAGAUGCUUAAAACUCACACCCCAUUUCGAACCUAGCGCCAAAGCUCCAAAAUCCCAGCAAAUGGAGAGCCUCGGAUGCAGUUCUGGGAGCAUGAGGCUCUCUUGCGGUGCUCCGGCGAGUCCCAUGCACCUCGCGUUCUGCGUGAAGGUGCCACCAUCAACUCUCCCCUCAUCGUCGUCGCCCUUUAAAGCCACUCUACCCAGCCCGCCUGCUAUAGGAACUCGGUGGCAACAGCAUUGUCGGCGACGCAUGUGGCAAACUCUCCCCCAGAUGGCCAGGUUCGACCGAGGAAGCGUCCUCGGACGCUGACACCAGGCCGUGGCUGUUGGCUCCACUCCCGAACGCUGACACCAGGCCGCAGCUGCUGGCUCCACUCCCGGACGCCGACGUUGGAACACGACGGCGAACGUGGCAUGGGUGGCGGUAAUCGAGGCGGCGGGACGGAAAGUUGGCAGCUUGGACCAACUCCGAGGACCUCCGGCGACGCCUCUCUCACCUCCGCUUUCUCCGUCAUAGUCUUCCUGAGGUGAAAAAGAAGAGCGUGGCUGAAGGGCCCAAAGAGAAAAUGAGUAUGGAUUUGGAUUUUAGUGGGUUGGGCCUAAAAGAGAAGCCCAAGUUUGUGAAGGCUUUAAUUGCCUUGGGCUUGCCCAUUGACACCUUUGGACUUGGGCUUGGAUUGGGGCACUAGACCCAAGUUGGUGAUGGAUUAUUGUAUUAGGCUUGCCCAAUGAAGACAUUGGACUUGGGCUUGAGUUGGAGCCCAGGCCCAGUUUGUGUGGAUGAUAGGCUCCGUGCCAAUCCUUCAAAAGAAAAAAAUCCUAAGUUCAAUUUAAUACUUCAAAAUCUUUGUUUAAAUCAUAUUUUUAUAAAUCACAUGAUUAUCCCUUAGUUAUUAUUUAUUCAAAGUCCAAUCUAUAAAUCAAAAUCACAUGUUUUAAUUUAAUUCUUCAAAUGCUCUUUUAAAUCUCAUAUUUAUCAACUAGAAUUAUUAUCUUAUAUUCUCCUAUUUUACUUAUAUCAAUCCUUCAAAAAUCUCAUGCUUUAAUUUAAUUCUUCAAACACUUGUUUAAAUCUCAUUUUCAUAAAAUCAAAUCAUCAUCCCGUAUUAUUAGUUAUUCGAAUUCUAAUCCAUUAAGAAAAUCCCAUGUCAUAAUUUAAUUCUUCAAAUGCUCUUUUAAAUCUCAUAUUUAUUCAACUAGAAUUAUUAUCUUAUAUUCUCCUAUUUUAUUUAUACCGAUCCUUCAAAAAUCUCAUGCUUUAAUUUAAUUCUUCAAAUACUUGUUUAAAUCUCAUUUUCAUAAAUCAAAUCAUCAUCCCGUAUUAUUAAUUGUUCGAAUUCUAAAUCCAUUAAGAAAAUCCCAUGUCCUACUUUAAUUCUUUAAAUGCUCGUUUAAACCUUAUGUUCAUCAAUGAGAAUUAUUACCCUAUUCAUUCACCUAUUUUAUUUAUACCAAUCCUUCAAGAAUCCCAUGUUUUUAAUUUAAUUCUUCAAAUACUUGUUUAAAUCAUAUUUUCAUAAAUCGAAUUAUUAUCCCACAUUUAUUUAGUUAUUUAAAAUCUAAUCCUUCAAAAAUCCCCUGUCUUAAUUUAGUUUCUCAGUAAUUCGUUUAAAUCUUAUUUCCAUCAAUUAGGAUUAUUAUAACGUAUUUGUCUAUUUAUUUAAAACCUAGUUCUUCAAAAAUCUCUUGUCUUAAUUCAAUUUUUCAAUCCUAUAAAUUCUACAGUUCGUCUAAAUUUUAUCCUCAUCAAUUAGAAUCAUUAUUUUCAUAUCUAUUCAAAAUCUAAUCUUCCGAAAACCCCAUGCCUUAAUUAAAACUUCAAUCCAAAAAAUUCUACUAUCCAUCUUUAUUCACCGGAAUGUUAUUCUCGUUAAUUAGUAUUAUAAUCACGUACCUACCUAUUUAGUCAAAGUCAUAUCCCUUAAAAAUCCAACGCCCUAAUUCAAAUUCUCAAUUAGAAAAAUUCCACUAUCCUUUUUUUUUUAUUCGUUUAAACAUUAUUUUUGUUCAUUAGUAUCAUUACUCCAUACUUAUUUACUUAUUUAUUUCGAUCAUUAAAAUUCAAUUCUUCAAAACCGGACCUCCAAAUUUAACCUUGAGACUAAAAAAUUCCACCAUUCUCUUUUAUUCAUUCAAAUAUCAUCUUUGUUAUCAUUGUUAUAAAUUCCACGUUUACUUAUUUCUUUAUUCUAAAAAUUCCAAUAAUUAGAGUCCAAUUAUUCUAAGAUCCGACUUUCAAACUUAAUUUUCAAAAUCCCACUAUUCACUAUUCAUCCGUCCAAAUAUCGUUUUGAUUAAUUAACAACAUUAUUCCAUAUUUACCCAUUUAUUUCUCUUAAAAAUCUCAAUCAUUAAGGUCUAAUUCUUCAAAAUUCCAAUUUCUAAAUUUAGCUAUUUGAAACUUCAAUUGUCCAAUCUUCGAACUUAAUUUUCAGUUUCCCAUGCUCCAAUUCCCGUAUUUGUCCUGCUACUUAUUAUUAUCAUUAGGGAAAAUUAGGUUUUGGGCUCUUGAUACGGAAUAUUUAUGGUUUUGAAAACCUAAGUGUAUAAAAUAUGAGAUGUCACUGUUAAUAUGUAAAAUAAUAUACAAAACAUGCACUAUUUCCUGUUUAUUUUUACUAUUCCCAGAUUGCCCCUAAAUUUUUCCAUCUCAUCAGCAAAUCCUCUCCAUGUCAGCAGAACAAUUUGAAACUUGAACUCGUUCUCAAAACUGAAAAGAAACCCGACCCGAGAACCAAAAGUAGUGAGUCUCUCUCACUUCUGGUCAUUUUGCCCUAACCCCAUCUCAUGAAAUUCCCAAUUUCGAUAUUCCAUUUCCAGUUUUUGGGAUCCAAUGAAAAUCGUAAACCUAAUGCUCAGUGCAUCCACUCAGUUAUCGUUGAAAUCAAUUUUGUUAGGGUGUAUUCAGCGGAAGAAUGCGAAGAGCAUUUCGAAGAAGCUGUGCGACACCGUUUCGGAGUUGGCGUCGUCGAUUUUGCUGGAGAACGGGUGGGCCGAAUCUGUUGUCGUUUAUGUUUCAGUGCGUGACCUUUCGAUUCGACGAAGGCUUCAGAGGCAGUGUUCUUGAUUUUUGCGCAGUUGGCGCAGUACAUCGANNNNNNNNNNNNNNNNNNNNNNNNNNNNNNNNNNNNNNNNNNNNNNNNNNNNNNNNNNNNNNNNNNNNNNNNNNNNNNNNNNNNNNNNNNNNNNNNNNNNNNNNNNNNNNNNNNNNNNNNNNNNNNNNNNNNNNNNNNNNNNNNNNNNNNNNNNNNNNNNNNNNNNNNNNNNNNNNNNNNNNNNNNNNNNNNNNNNNNNNNNNNNNNNNNNNNNNNNNNNNNNNNNNNNNNNNNNNNNNNNNNNNNNNNNNNNNNNNNNNNNNNNNNNNNNNNNNNNNNNNNNNNNNNNNNNNNNNNNNNNNNNNNNNNNNNNNNNNNNNNNNNNNNNNNNNNNNNNNNNNNNNNNNNNNNNNNNNNNNNNNNNNNNNNNNNNNNNNNNNNNNNNNNNNNNNNNNNNNNNNNNNNNNNNNNNNNNNNNNNNNNNNNNNNNNNNNNNNNNNNNNNNNNNNNNNNNNNNNNNNNNNNNNNNNNNNNNNNNNNNNNNNNNNNNNNNNNNNNNNAUUUCUUUGUAAUCAGUUUCCUAUUUUCGUGCUCAUGCAAUCUGUAUAUAUACUAACCAUAUCAAUGAGAAUCACAUGUAAUAAUUCUUCAAUUUCUCUCUUCCAAAAAUCCUUUAUACGAUUCAUUCAUGACUUCCACAGCUGCGCUAAUGAAAACAUCGUAAACCUGAUUGAUGGGGAUGACAGCCUGUAGCGAACGAAGAGCAUGGUCUACAAUCCGAGCAGCGGGGUAGAAGGAUAGCAGUAGGAGAACAGGAUAAACAUACCAGAAGAGUGGCUGCGGGAAAAUGAGUGAAGCCAUGAAUGAAACAGCGGCGGAGAGCGGGCGGUUUCCAAAUCGCAAUCAUAUGUGGAGUGUUCGGAAUGAACAAGUGAAGAGGGUGAGGGGGACUUCAAUGGAGACGAAGGAAAAGACAGCUAGAAUGAGGAGAAAGCAAAAGAGGUUGGUCCAAGUGAUCAGAUCCCAACUUAUCCCUUCUAUUUGGUUGGGAUUUCGCCAUGUUUAUCAGGACUAUGAUGCAGAACCUCAAAUCGAAGUAGCGCAUGGCGCAUUUACUGAUGAUGGAAUGAACCAAUUGCGGGGAGAUGGAGUCAUAUAAUUCGAGGAGUUCGGAAUACUACAUAUAGAUAGCCACCAGCUUCAGAACUAGGAUUGCCCUCCUCUUUUGUAAAAAUUACAACAUUUAAGGACGGUCUAAUGAUUACUGAAGUCAUCCUAAAGGGUUGGCCGACAACUUUUAAAUUUUUCCCGAAAUAGCCUUACUUUUUUAAUAGAAGAUCUAAUAAGUUGGUGACUAAAAUUGGUUGAUACUGUCUAAAAAAUUAAUAUAAAAGUAAAGGACAAUUCUUGGAAACUUCAUGGCGACACAUAAUUAAGUUGAAAUUAUGGAUAGGAAGUAAUUUUGAUCAAAUUAAUACACUUAUUUGUCUUAUUGCAAGGGUUUUAUUUUUCUUAACAAAAAUACAAUUUAAUAUCCCAUGUGGCAACAUUUGUGGUUGCUUAGUAUGUUGAUGUUGCAACUUGCAAGACAGUACCACAUGUUAAAAGCAGGGAAAUAACAUCACAAAAUUCCAUGAAGGAGCCUUUUUCCCACCCAUCCUCCCUCCAAAAGAAGCAAGACUUCAAAAGAUUUCAAUUAAAUUUUUUCAAGGUGUAGUAGAUUUGAAAUUAUUUUUUGAAUUAUCAUUAUUAUAUAUAUAUAUUUUAAAUUCUCUUGAAUAACUGCAAUAAUGGAUUCCAAUGGUAACCCAAUAUUCCUAUGUGGGAUUCCACCAUGUUAAACAAAACUUGUCAUGUGCCUUAAAAAAAAACUCAUUAUUAUCACUACUUUUUUAUUUUAAUUUUUCAUUGACAUAGACAUGUUCAAGAAUUUAAAGUCAAAAUAGUGUUUUUUUUAAAAAAAAAAAAGAAAAAAAUAAUGAAAAUAAAUCUAUUUUCAAAAUAUUUACCUAUCUAAUUUUUGUAAUCAAGUGUUAAAAACCAUAGUUUGUAACUAUGAUUUUCACUUUAAAUUUAAAGUCACAGUUACCAACUAUUUUAAAAAUCAACAUUGAUAAUUAUGGUUUUAAAUUUAAAGUUAAAAUUACAAUUACUAAUCAUGGUUUUAAAAUAAAAAUAACAAUAAAUUGGAACUUGAUACUGUAAGGACGUAUUAUUUUGACAAAUAUUUUUAACACAAGUUUAGAUUGAGAAUUUUUUUAGAAAAUCAAGUUAUUUUUAUCGAAAACUCCAUGUUCAACGUUUUUGUUCUUAAUUACUAAAGAAAUAAUUAUCAUGAUUCAUGGCUAUGAUAAACUUAAUUAUUGUUAUUUUAAGAAAUGAAGGGGAGAGUGAGAGACCGUUCAUACUUAUUUUUCUUGCUCGCUCAACCCUUUUCCCUUUUUAUACCUAUUUUUAUGGUUAAUUUACCAAAAAAAAUAUCUAUUAAGUUUUUAUUAAUUAUUUANNNNNNNNNNNNNNNNNNNNNNNNNNNNNNNNNNNNNNNNNNNNNNNNNNNNNNNNNNNNNNNNNNNNNNNNNNNNNNNNNNNNNNNNNNNNNNNNNNNNAAAUACAUUGUCGAUCUACUUAACAGAACUCACAUGACUGAAGCCAAGCCUGCUCCUACACCACUAGCAACUAGUCCAAUUCUCACUUUACAAUCAGGAACCCCACUAUCUGACCCGACCGAGUAUCGAACAGUGGUUGGUAGCCUCCAGUAUCUCUCCCUCACUCGGCCGGACAUUGCUUAUACGGUGAACAAACUCUCUCAGUUUAUGCAUCAACCAACAAGUGACCAUUGGAAUGCAAUCAAGCGUCUGCUGCGGUAUCUCUGUGGCACCUUAGACCACGGCAUCACACUUCGUCGGACCUCCCCACUAGCACUUCAUGCCUUUUCUGACUCUGAUUGAGCAGGUAACAAAGAUGAUUUCACCUCCACCAGUGCAUACAUAAUCUAUUUGGGUCACAACCCUAUUUCUUGAAGCUCUAAGAAACAGCGAACUGUGGCUCGCUCUUCCACUGAGGCUGAAUACCGAUCGGUGGCCUCUACUGCUGCAGAAAUUCAUUGGAUUUGCUCUCUCCUCACCGAACUCGGUGUCACUCUUCCCCAACAACCAGUUAUUUAUUGUGAUAAUGUUGGUGCAACAAAUCUCUGUUCCAAUCCGAUCUUUCACUCGCGCAUGAAACAUGUUGCCCUCGACUAUCACUUUAUCCGAGAACAAGUUCAAAAUGGUUUGCUACGAGUGUCCCACAUCUCUGCCUCUGAUCAACUCGCCGAUGCUCUUACCAAACCCCUUGCUCGUCCACAGUUUGACUCACUCAAGGCCAAGAUUGGACUUGCUCCACGGCCGUCCAUCUUGCGGGGACAUGAUAAGGAUAUACAAUCAAGUUGAGAAAGUCAAGGGAGAAAAUCAAGGGAUUUCCAAAGUUUGAAUAUUUNNNNNNNNNNNNNNNNNNNNNNNNNNNNNNNNNNNNNNNNNNNNNNNNNNNNNNNNNNNNNNNNNNNNNNNNNNNNNNNNNNNNNNNNNNNNNNNNNNNNCCUCCAAAAGAAGCAAGACUUCAAAAGAUUUCAAUUAAAUUUUUUCAAGGUGUAGUAGAUUUGAAAUUAUUUUUUGAAUUAUCAUUAUUAUAUAUAUAUAUUUUUUAAAUUCUCUUGAAUAACUGCAAUAAUGGAUUCCAAUGGUAACCCAAUAUUCCUACGUGGGAUUCCACCAUGUUAAACAAAACUUGGUCAUGUGCCUUAAAAAAAAACUCAUUAUUAUCACUACUUUUUUAUUUUAAUUUUUCAUUGACAUAGACAUGUUCAAGAAUUUAAAGUCAAAAUAGUGUUUUUUUUUUUAAAAAAAAAGAAAAAAAUAAUGAAAAUAAAUCUAUUUUCAAAAUAUUUACCUAUCUAAUUUUUGUAAUCAAGUGUUAAAAACCAUAGUUUGUAACUAUGAUUUUCACUUUAAAUUUAAAGUCAUAAUCACCAACUAUUUUAAAAAUCAACAUUGAUAAUUAUGGUUUUAAAUUUAAAGUUAAAAUUACAAUUACUAAUCAUGGUUUUAAAAUAAAAAUAACAAUAAAUUGGAAUUUGAUACUGUAAGGACGUAUUAUUUUGACAAAUAUUUUUAACACAAGUUUAGAUUGAGAAUUUUUUUAGAAAAUCAAGUUAUUUUUAUCGAAAACUCCAUGUUCAACAUUUUUGUUCUUAAUUACUAAAGAAAUAAUUAUCAUGAUUCAUGGCUAUGAUAAACUUAAUUAUUGUUAUUUUAAGAAAUGAAGGGGAGAGUGAGAGACCGUUCAUACUUAUUUUUCUUGCUCGCUCAACCCUUUUCCCUUUUUAUACCUAUUUUUAUGGUUAAUUUAACCAAAAAAAAUAUCUAUUAAGUUUUUAUUAAUUAUUUAUAUUUUUACUUGGAAGUAAGAAUAUGAUGCGAGUCAUCAAAAUCUAACCAUUAAAUUCAUAGAACUUUAGUAAUUUGUUAUAUGAAACAUAAGUUUUAACUAAAAGACUUUAUUUUUAACUAUCUUUGUUUUUUUUUUUUAAAGUAAGAAAAAAAAAAGGGUAUUGAUUUGGUAUUUAUAAAAAUAUUAAUCUCCACUUUUAAAAGUACAUAAAAAUAUUUAGACUUUUAGAUGUAAAUAUAAAUAAUAAAAUUAAAAUAUAAAUAAAUGAGAUCAAGUUGUUUAUUAUUAUUAUUAUUAUUAUUAAAAAAGAAUAAAACAUAAGAAGGAUGAGAAAUAAUCCCCAUGAUGUUAUAAGAGUUCAAGUUGUAACACAAUGGGACUUAAAGGAGUACAUCGUUUCCAUUUGAAAAAAAAUAUCAAAUUUAUAAUAGAAAUUACUAAAUUCUUUAAAAUAAUUUUAAAAGUUUUGUAACAAAAUAUUAAAAUUAGUGGCAAUUUCUAAUGAUUUUCUUUUUAUUGUUUAAUUCUUUUGAAAGUUUCCUUUAAAUAUUCUUGAUAAUUUUUUUUAUAUAAAAUCUGUUUUUUUUAAAGUGUUUUAAGUACGUGAUUGAUUAAUUUAAUACAUUUUUAUAAUUAAUAUUUAAAAUUAUUUAGUUUUUUAAUAAUAAUAUAAAAAUACCAUUAAUUAGCCUUGCAAUUUACAAAUGAUGCCUAGCAAAAUUUGUGGGCCCCGCCGCUGCACAUGCCCUCCUCCAAAAAGUCAUUAACAACCACAAUCUGAAUUGUGGUCAAAGUCAAUGUCAUGACUCAUGAGCAUCAAAACUGCUUUACUGCUUUAAGGCUAUUUUGGGAACAAACUUAAUACCGACCGACCCUUUAGGAGGUCUGAGGAUGAGACAAACCUCGCACGUUGUAAUUUUUACAAAAUGGAAGGGCAAUCAUAAUUCUGAAUCUGGUGGCCAUCUGUAUAUAGUAUUCAAUUCACCAACUCCAUCCUCCCAUGAUUGGUUCAUUCCAUCAUCAUCAUCAUCAUUAAAUGCGCCAUGCGCCAUGCGCCACUUCGAUUUGAGGUUCUGCAUCAUAGUCCUGAUAAACAUGGCGAAAUCCCAAAUAGGAGGGAUAAGUUGGGAUCUGAUCACUUGGACCAACCUCUUUUGCUUUCUCCUCAUUCUAGCUGCCUUUUCCUUCGUCUCCAAUGAAGUCCCCCUCACCCUCUUCACUUGUUCAUUCCGCACACUCCACAUACGAUUGCGAUUUGGAAACCGCCCGCUCUCCGCCGCUGUUUCAUUCAUGGCUUCACUCAUUUUCCCGCAGCCACUCUUCUGGUAUGUUUAUCCUGUUCUCCUAUUGCUAUCCUUCUACCCCGCUGCUCGGCUUGUAGACCAUGCUCUUCGUUCGCUACAGGCUGUCAUCCCCAUCAAUCAGGUUUACGAUAACCGUAUCCCCAACAAGAUGAGCCGAGUUCAGAAAACCAAGAUUUAGAAGCCAAUAUUGAAGCCCAGUAAGUGUAGCAGUCAGUCACCCAUGAUUUGAAGUGUUUUUAUGUUUCAGCAUCUCGUUUGUAUAAAUGUGUUUUCCUGGAAAAUUAUAGAUCUGUAGUGGGUCAAUUCCCUUCUUUGUUAUACGUGGGAAGAAGGGUGGCAAGGUGCUGAUAGGCAGGUUAGGUGGUGGGGUGAUCGGGUAGUGUCGGGGUCCCACUUUGACUCUCACAGCAAGCACCAUUUACCUGUGGCUGUGUAACAGAGUUUUCCAGAGCGGAACAUUCACCAUUUCAAUAAACAAUAAUCCAAACAAAAAUUCAAUCUCAAUCUGAUAAAUCAAUAAUCUAAAAAAUAUGCAAUACGAUAUCAAGCAAGGUACAAAUUCCCAGUUCUCAUGACAAAUCAAUAAUAUAACUAAAACCCAUAUUAAUGACAAAAUCGAGUCCACAUCAAAAUUAUGCAACCAGAAUCAAUUAUUGUAGAAAACAAAAAAAAGAAAAGUCACCUAAAAUUGAAGAACCCAUGGAAGAAGAUGCCAUGGAGCAGUAGUGGGCACGAAGAUACAGUGGCCAUGAAUGAAGUGUGGUGUGAGAGGGAGAAUGGGUGGUGGGGUGAUGGUGUUCCAUGGGUGAGAGAGAUGAAGAGAAAAUGAGAGAGAGGGAAAGUGAAUGAGAUAAAGAGAGAAGGGGAAGAGCGGGUGGCCGGCCGGAUUGCGGCCGGCGGUGGUGUCGCAUCAGUGAUGCCGGCAGUGGGAAGAAAGGAAAAAAAAUGGCUAUGGAAAGAGAACAGGGAAAAAGAGAGAAAGAAAGAGAAAAGGAAAGAUGGUGAAGAAGAGGGAAGAAAUGGGUGUUUGGAUGGAGAGAAAAUGAGAGAGAAGAGGAGGGGCGGAUGGAGGUAGAUGAAGGAAAACGGGGUCUCAAACCCUAAAAAAUGGUUUAAAUAGGGGUUGCUAGUGGGUGAAUGGGUUGGGCUUUAGAGAAAAUGGGCUAAAAGUUUAAAAAAGAAUGGGCUGGUAAUUUGGGGUGGUCUACACAUUGGUUAGGUGGUGUUUUUUUAUUUUCAUUUUUUUUAAAAUAACUAAACUCAAAGAGUGAAAAAGUGAAAAUACGAACGUGGUGCCUUCAAAAUUUUGUAUGAAGAGUAAAUUUUUUUUCUUAAAGUUAAAAAUGAAGAAGAAAUGAAAGCACAUAAAAAACUUUAUGGGACUAAGAAUAUAAACGAAAGAUGAAUAUAAUAUAAAAUAAAUAUCAAUAUUAAUAAAAAUUAUAUCACAUAUAUUUGAAAUUAAAUCUCAUCUUAAAACUAUAAAUAUUUUGUUUAUUUAUUAGGUUAGGAUAUAUAUAUAUAUAUAUAUAUAUAUAUAAAAGAAUAAUAUCAAUACAUUUCAUAAUAUUUUUCUCAUAUUUCAUAGUAGUGAAAACCCAAAAUUAAACAAGAUUUUACAAAUUUUACAAUUUACAUUUUACUUAAUUUAUGUCAUUUAAAAAAAGAUAAGAAGUAAAAAUUAUUUUAAGAAAAUAAAAACUAAAAGUAUAUUUUUCAAUCAAACACAAUUAAAGGUGUCCAAUAGGCCAGAUUGCCCAUUUUGGCCUACCCAAACACACCAAAUGGUUAGACUAACAUAGCUCAAUUAGUGUAGCGGGCUAAGCCGACACGACCCAAAGUAGUGGGUCUUGCUAGGCAUAAUAAGGAGACUACCCGUCUUACCAUCAUGCCAGCCAUCAUGUUAGCUCACAUGACCAUUUCAAAUAUUAUUUUUACCUUUUUCUUUUUCCUUUUUUAUUAUAUCUCAAAUGCAAUUCUCACUUUUUUUUUCUUUCCCUAUUUUUUCAUAUAAUUUAUUGAAAUAUUGAAUAAAAAUUUAUUUUUUAUAUUUCAUUUUCUUUUAUAUUCAAUUAUUUUAAAUUCAUUAUUUGCUCAAAGAAGCAGGUGCUGGGCAUAAGGAGAUAACCUGUCUUACCAUCAUGUUAGCCCACUUGACCUCUUCAAAUAUUACUUUUUACCUUUUUCUUUUUCAUUUUUAUUACAUCUCAAAUGCAAUUCUCACUUCUUCUUUUUUUCUCCCUAUUUUUUCCGUAUAAUUUGUUGAAAUAUUAAAUAAAAAAUUAUUUUUUAUAUUUCAUUUCAUUUUAUAUUAAAUUAUUUUAAAUUUAUUGUUAUUUUGAUUCAAAGAAAUACCAAAUUUAAAUAUGAUUUUUUUUACCAUUUUUAAAAACAAAAAAUUAAUAUUUAUAUAAAUUUUACAAUUAUAAACUUGAUAAAUAUAAAAAUAAAAUAUGAAAAAAAUAUCAUUAUUAAAAAUGUUUAAAGUAAUAAAAAAUUUUCAUUUAAUAAUAAAAAAAUUAAGACAAAAUAACUUUAAAGAUUUUAACAAAGUGAGUAGCCUCGGUCAUGGGCCGUUAGCAUGACCCUCCAACACGACACGAUUGACAUGGUUGGCAUGACACAAUUGGCUCAAAAGGUUAUGGGUUGUGUCGAGUCACCUAUUUGGUUUGUAUGGAUUGAGUCGGACUAACAUAAUUUUUAAGUGAGUCAUAUAACUAAUAGCCCACUAAACAAUGGGCAGAGCCAGCCCGACAUGGCCUAUUACAGCCUCUUAGAUGCCUCUAGACACAACUUAAGAACCACAAAAAUAAAUAAAUAAAUAAAUAAAUAAUAAAUGUAUUCAUUCUUCUAUUUAUGCAACCUUUAUAUGUAAAGGAGAAAUAAAUUUUGUCGAUGACAAUUAGUAUUGAUGGGUUGUAUUGGUCUUUGUGUCUAGUCAAAACCUAUGUAUUUUAUUAUAUAAAUCAACCCAAAUAUAAUAAUAAUAUGAAAAAUGUAAAUCUAAAUAUUAUUUUACUAUUAAAUAGAUAAUAGGAUAUGUAAUUCAUUUAAUAAUUAAACUAAAUUAUAUUAUAUAUAUUUUUAUGGUUAAAUGUUUUAAUUAAACAUGUUUAUAGCAAUCUCUUUUGGCCCGUUGAGGAUAAUAUUUUCACGUCAUUAAGGAUGGUAUCUUCAUGGUCGUCUCUUUUGCAAGGAGAGAAAAAUAUAUAUAUAGAAGAGGACACGGUAGGCACCCACGAUAAACGUCUUAUUUAAAAAUUAGAAAAACUGGGUCACAUAGCCUUGAAGAAAAUUCGUUACUGUCACUUUAGUUUUAAUAUUUUGUUGGAAGCAAUAUAUCUUUCAAUAAAAUUAUGUUAAACAAGAACUUUAACUAUUGAAAAGCCAAUUAAAAUAUGUUUUAGUAUAAUAACAGAAUUUUAAAACUUAAGUCGGAAAAUAUUGAUCAUCAAGCAGCAACACCGAUUACUAAUUUAGGAAAAAGACAUUGUCUAAAAUGGUACAAUGUUUUCUCUCUCCUUUAUUUUUUCCAAGAAUUUUGGCAGCGAUUUAUGGCGGCUAGUAUCUUGAAAAAAUAAAAAAAUUGGAGCAACUUUUUGCAUUAAUUUUUGUUUGACAUCUGACAUGUUCAACGUUUCAGGAAAUAAUCAUCGUGGUUCAUGGAUAUGGUAAAAUUUUAUUGUUAUUUUAAGAAGUGAAAAGAAGAGUGCGUGACCAUUCAAAGCUAACUGGUACUUAUCUUGAACGAUAAGGGCAAAAUUAAUAUUUUACAGCUUUAUCACACAUAGCAAACAUAGUGUGCUUAUUGUAACUUAUCAAAGAGACAACUAAACCCAUGGGUUAUCACGCAGAGAUCCUUUGGACAAUUUUAACCAAUUUUAAGAUCAAAUUUAUUACAGUUUCUAUUCGGAAGGUGAGGCUAUUUUGGGACAAGCGUAGAAAAAACCAAAUCAGACUAGUCCAAUUGUUGUCAACAUCAAAACUUAUUAUUCAUUUCCUAUCCAAAAAUUGUCGUCAAUGUCAUGAACUUCAAAACUUCGUGAUUGAUUUCCGCACCAAAGCUUUGGACAGUAUCAACCAAUUUUAGUCACCAACUUAUUUGAUUUUCUAUUCAAAAAGUAAGGCUAUUUCUGGAAAAAUAUAAAAGUUGCCGGCCAACCCUUUAGGAUGAGUUCAGCAAUCAUCAGCCAACCUUAAAUGUUGUAAUUUUUACAAAAGAGCAGGGCAAUCAUAGUUCUGAAGCUGGUGGCUAUUUAUAUGUAGUAUUCCGAACUCCUUGAUAUCAAUAAACCCAUCUUCCCGCAAUUGGUUCAUUCCAUCAUCAGUAAAUGUGCCAUGCGCUACUUCGAUUUGAGGUUAUGCAUCAUAGUCCUGAUAAACAUGGCGAAAUCCCAAAUAGGAGGGAUAAGUUGGGAUCUGAUCACUUGGACCAACCUCUUUUGCUUUCUCCUCAUUCUAGCGACCUUUUCCUUCGUCUCCAUUGAAGUCCCCCUCACCCUCUUCACUUGUUCAUUCCGCACACUCCACAUACGUCUGCGAUUUGGAAACCGCCCGCUCUCCGCCGCUGUUUCAUUCAUGGCUUCACUCAUUUUCCCGCAGCCACUCUUCUGGUAUGUUUAUCCUGUUCUCCUACUGCUAUCCUUCUACCCCACUGCUCGGCUUGUCGAGCAUGGUCUUCGUUCGCUACAGGCUGUCAUCCCCAUCAAUCAGGUUUACGAUGUUUUCAUUAGCGCAGAUGUGGAAUUCCUGAAUGAAGAGUAUCCCCAACAAGAUGAGCGGAGUUCAGAAACCCAAGAUUUAGAAACCAAUAUUGGAGCCCAGCAAGUGUAGCAGUCUGUCACCCAUGACUUCAAGUGUUUUUUAUGUUUCAAUUCAGCAUGGCGUGAGUACGUGUUUUUGUGGCAAAUAAUAGGUCUGUGGUGGGUCAAUUCCCUUCUUUUUGGUUUUUGACUUUUUGUUUUUUAAGAGGCUCUUGACGUGAUUUUGGGGUAGUAGGAUAAAUGAUAUGUUUUGGAGUGAUUCAGGCUACUCGAGUAUGGUAGUUGAAUUCACUUAACCAAUACAGGCUGCCCUUCCAUUUUGUAAUAGUUUUAAAGUUUGAGGUACUUCGAUGAUACCCUUACUUUUAUUUUUCCCUCUCUUCCUGGUCCAUUAAAAAAAAUGGCACGAGCUGUGAUCUUCACAAUCAUCAAACCGUGUGAUUAUCCUAAGUUCCCAAAGGUCCUAACUUUGGUAGAGAUUUAAAUAAGCUAUGAUAUUGAGAAUCUUCUAACCCUGUGAUUACAAUGAGUUCCCAAAUGCCCUUCUUUUCAAGAGAAACUACUAUUAGCUUUGAUGUUGGCAAUCAUCAAUCGUGAUUACUAGUUUUUACGUGGGUAAUGAAUAAAAUUGUCAAAAGGGUUCGGUAAAUGCUAUCUCUUUUAUUUAUUUGUUUUCUUCAAUGUUUUCAGAACGGGAAAAGUUACCGGUUCACGGUUUACCAGUCGGACCGGCGGUCGAACCGCUAUUGAACCGGUGACGUUAUAAAUAUAUAUUUUAUUAUUUUGUAUAUUAUAAAAAAUUAAAAAAUUAAUAAAUUCUAUGUAAAUUUUGACAGCAUCUACUUUGUUUGUUGAGUUUUGUCAUAAAAAUUUUUACCUGUAGAAGUCAUCAAUUAUCAUAUAUGAUAUCUAUAACACAAUAUAAGGUGUUAUACAUUCAUAAUGUCAAUAAACUCAAUAUUUAUCAAAUAAUCAAACCAUUACUAUCCUAUAAUAACCAAAUCAUCAAAGAGUUGUUAACUUAACACAUUGUCCAUAAUAGAUAAUACAAAUGUCAACCAUAGGUCCACAACACUUAAAUAAUUACUCAAAAUAAAAAUAUAACAUGUCAAUGUUUGAAUAUUCAUGAAGUUUUUUACAUACUAAUAAAUAUAAAAUUCAUGUUUUCAUUCAUUUUGGAAAUUGGAAUAUGGAGACUGAACAUGAGCAUUUGGAAAACCAAAGUUCUCUACAUGAAGCCCUUCUAUAGCUACGUCACCACCAUCCUCAUCAUCUACAAAAAUAUUGAAUAUAUAUCAACAAGAAAUCAUUUUUGAAGAAAAAAAAAAUAUAAUUAUUGAACUUUUAUAAGUUUAAAUAUUUUACUAACCAAUGUGAGAACUUGAACCUUCCACUUCAUUUAUUGGAAUUGACCCUUCUUCAUAUAGAAGAUUUUCCAAUUCUUCAAUAUCUAACUCUGCUGGUUGAUCGUCAUCAACUACCCAAAAAUCGGUCUCAUCAAUGCAUGCAUAGUCAAUGGGAUCAUAGAUUCUUUUCUUGUUAUAAAACCUAAAAAAAAAAGCAUAUAAUUAUUCAUAAUUGUGAAUAGAAGAAUUUAAAUUCAAAACAACUAAGAAAUCAUUUAUACCGAUUUUUUAGGCGCAAAUUGUAAUGAACGUAUACAAGAUCAUUAAGCCUUUGAUGUUCUAAUCUAUUCCUUCUUUUGGUAUGUAUACAUUCAAAGACACUUCAAUUCCUCUCACAUCCAGAAGACGAUGCGGUUUGGCUCAAUAUUAGAAUGGCUAACUUUUGUAAAUGUGGUGUACUGUAUCCAUGUAGCCUCCACCAUUCAUCUAGUUACCAUUUCACAUUAAAAAUAAGAAAAAAAUAAAACACAUUAGCAAGUUUAAAAUAUUAAAUAGUAAGUAGGUAACUAAUAAAAAAAAAUAUAAUCAUACUAAUAAAUGAAAAUAAUAUUUUACCAGGUUGAAGUACUUCACGUGAAGAAUAAGCAAGUUCUCUUCCAAAACUUCCCAAUCAAUCACAAAAUAACUUCAUUUCAUUCAUUGUUUCAAGCUUGCCUUUUAGAACUUUCUGAUUAAUAACAUCCAUGACACCUCCAAUAACAUUUGGCUUAUUACAAAAGUUUUCCUGAUCAUAUUGGAAACAUGGAUUCAACCAAUAAUCUGCUGAAUGAAUGCUUUUCUUUAGUUGUUGAUCCCAACGUUGCUUUAUGAUCUUUGUAUAAGGCUUGUAUAGUCUUUCAUUGUAGUUAAAUAAUUUCUUGAUGCCCAAACGAACCCUAUACAUGCCUUCAUACACAUAUCCCAUCGAAGGCCUCUCAUCACAAUCAACAAUACGCAAUAAGCGCAUUAGUGGAGACAUAAGAUUCACAACAAUUAAACGAUCAUUCCAAAAUCUAUUAUCCAAGAUGAUGGAAACUGCAACUUUGCUUUUAUAAUCCUUUGAAUAUGUAGAGUCCAGAAAAAACUUACUAGUCACCAAAGCUUGCAAGUUAUGUUUAUGAUUAUGAAGACUCUUGAGUGCAAUGAAUGUAGUAGCAAAGCGAGUUGCCCCAGGUCGCAAAAUCUCUAUCCAUCAUUCUCUUUUUCUCAACCACACUACUACAAAAUACAUGAAUAAUGACGUUUUUUUCCUUGACGUUUUUUAAAAGCGUCAAUAUUAACCUAAGUGACAACAUGUCUUAGCGUUUUUUAAAGGCUUGAUUAACAAUGACGCUUUGUGGGGAAGCAAUGACACUCCUAUUCAAUGGCACCUUUUACAAACGUAAUUGAUUGCAGAAUGUUGGAGACCUUGGCGCUUUAUUUAAGCGUCAAAAAAUAAUUUCUUUCUUGUCGCAUUUUUUAAGCGCCAUGUUCUAAAACAUCAUAUAUACAUGUGUGAAAUUUCUACCAAAUACACAAUUCCCUCUAAAAUUUCAUUCUCACACCCGCUGUAUCACCUAAAAAUCUAUAAAUUCUCAUACCCUCAUUUAUCUUCUAUCUGUGGAAAGUCACACCCUAAAAAGCUAUUAACUAUCUCAAAAACCCUAGCCUUUACUCUCAGCCAUCUUCAAUUUCCCUAACCCCCCAAGAGUCCAUAACUUAUUCCUCAUCAUCAUCAAUAACCUCACAUCCCAAACCCUAAGCCUCUCAUUUCUUUGUUCUCACCAUAGUCGUUGAGAGCUACUAAUGCCGAAAUAGAGAAGCUUGAAGUCCACCACUAGCCAGCUAGUUAUCAAUGGCAUUAAACAUUUUCUAAGCUUGAAAUAGAGAUGCUCUAUGGUAACUCUCUGCUUUGAGUAUUUUUUUUUUCUGGGUUUAUCUAAUGUUAGGGCUUGUAUGAAGAUUGCUUGUGUUUCCCCCCUUUUGUGCUUUACUAUUUUAAUUUGUUGUUUCUGAAAUCUAUUGGGGUUGAUUUCGGUUUUGCACAACUGACCCCAACUGAAAAAAAGAGGCACCACUACCAACAGACAAACACAUUGUUUUUCGCUUCCACAAGAAAGAGAGGGCCUUUUUUCAGAGAGAGAGAGAAACGCAGUUUUUAGAGAGAGAAAUCGUGUGGCUCUGAGGAUUUGGGUUAGGGUUUUUUUUUUCUUUUGGGUGGUGAUAAUGGGGAUUGGGUGUUUUUAGAGGGAGACAACAGUCAUGGUACUUUUUGAAACUAUCUGUUUUUUUUUUUCUUUACUUCUGGAAGGAGUGGUGAUUAGGUUAGGUUGUGUUGUUGUUGCUUUGUCUGAUUGCAAAUUUGAUGGGUUAUGUUUGGUUUCCUAGGAAGUGGUUUUUCCUGGAGGAAGGGGGGCAUAUUUUGGAGGAUUCAUUUUCGUUGCAAAUUUAGCCAGGUCAUGUUUGUUUCCCGAGAAAAAUAGCAUUUUGGAGGGUUGAUCUGUAUUGGGAAUUGGGUUUUGAAUGUUCUGCAAAGUGUUUCUCCUGCGAAAAAUGAUAUUUUUAUUGUAAAUUUAACUGGGUUCUGUUUGUUUCCCUAGAAAGUGACCUUCCCAGGGAAAAAGGCUUUUAUUUGAUUCCAAACUUGAUUUGGUGUUGUUCGUCUCCCUGGAAGUAAUUUUCCUAGGGAAAAAGACAUAUUUUUGAGGAUUGAUUAAUAUUGAUUGUAAUUUAUUACAUAUUUAAUUGGCUUCAGUUUGUUUCCAUGAAGGGUUAUUUAGAUUGAUUGGAAUUUAUUGUGAAGCUUGAGGGGGGUUUAUCAUUUGUCUUUAUUUAGAUUUAGAUUUCCUCCCCACCAUCCUAUGAUUUGUAUUUUUCCUCAGUAAAAAUUCUCUUGGUGCCAAUCAGAUACAAACAAAACCCGAAUUAUAUGCAUUUAUGUCUUUUUGUGUACUAUAAAUACAUUUUUAUAAGCAUACCUGUAGCUUCUUUGCUGAAUUUUUGCAGGUUAUAGAGAUUUCUUCAACUAGGUCUAUUGAUAGCAAGCCUUGGCAAUUGAAUGGGCUGACUGGUUGAAUCAAAUUGGCUCAAAUUAGGAAACAAACAUAGAAGACUUUAUUUGGGUUCUGCUUAUCUAGUACAAUUUCUUUUGGAUUUUCAAGGUUAUGGCGGCUUUAAAAUAUUAGCUCAAUGGAUCUAAAUUAGGUUAGGGUUUUCCCCUCAUUUUUUUCAUUUUUUUUAUUUUUUAUUUAUUUUGUGUGUUAUUAAUUUUUUUAAUAAUGCUAUUAUGAAUUUAUAAAUUUGCACAACGGUUACUUUAUAAAUUAUAAUUAAAUUUGUACGCAUUAUACCAAAAGCUAUAAAAAUGGUAUUUGUUAAAAAAUAUAGUACAAGCCCCUGUAAUUUUUUGUUAAAAAUUACAUUAAUUAUCUCUUAACUAUUUUUUUCAAUGGAUUAUUACAAUUUUUAACCUAUAAAAUCAUAUCUAAACAAUUUAAAUCUAGAUAUUGCUUUGUUUUUAUAUGCUUUUAUCACUCUUUUAAGUAUUAAAAGAAAUUUCAAUUUAAAAAAAAUCAAAGUGAAAAUAAAUUCACCACAUGAUAUAUUGAGUAUUUAAUUAACAUUUUUUUUCAACUGUGGCUCUCUGCUCAGUUGCACUGGUUGUGAUGCUUAGAAACUCUCAGACCAAUGACUUUGACAGUCUCUCCUACUCUAACCUUGGAGCCUUCUGGUACUAUUCUUCUAUUCCCAUCUCAUUUCCUUGUUGUGCAUAGUGUUAUUCAUCAUGAAUGGGUUUCAGAGAUUACUUCUUCAGACUGCAGAAACAUAGUAAUUAACCACUUUGAACUUCAUUCAUUUACAAGAAAUAACAUUUAAUUUUCUUUUGCUGUUUGAUUUUUCGUUAAUUUUCAUGAGACUUGAAAAGUUAUGAAGGGGUCUCAUCUUAAGGUUUCUUGUAUAGAAAAUCAUACACUUUGAUUCCUAUUACUCGUUCUAUUUGUUUAAUUACUCAGUGUGGAGAUUUUUUUGGAUACUUACAUGACUAGUCCUAAGAGGGUUUGCUUUGAUAUACUUUUAUUCAUUUCAUUUAGAUCACCUCUUUUGAGGCUUCAUAAGGGUUUAUGUUUCUGAGUUUGCAUUUUCUUAGUCAGGAGUGAAUUAAAGUAUUCAAUUUAUUUCUGGGUAAGUUUUCUUAGAUAGCACAUAAUAAAAAAAUAUAUCCAAUUCUACUCAACUCAACUCAAACUUAUGUAGUCACAUAUUAUGAGGCCUUAAUUUGAAAUCCAAGGCUUAAAAUUCUGAUAUCUUUUUUUUCUUAGUAAUUGAGUGAUUUUUUAAAUUCAGUUUCUCUUAGAAAUCAAAAUUUUGAAACAAAUUUUCCCAAAUCCCAUAUUUGAAGAAUUUCAAGACUCAAAAUUUGUAGUCCUUCCCACAAUUUUAUAAGCAAUUGAUCAAAAAGAGCUUUGUUGAAAUUUGGAUCCUUAGUGAAACUUUUUUUUUUUUUUUUAGUUUCUUGUCAAAGCAAUACCCUAGUACAGGUUCAUUUUUUGGUAUUCUGGAAGGAUGAACUACAACGGACUAAACAUCAAUAUCUACUACAUUGAUUAGUUGUUUGCACAUUCAAUUUUUUCUAUUAUCUUUUAAAAAAUUAGGCUUUCUACUGAUGUUUAAUUUCAUUUAGUACUAGUCUUAAGCUUGACAAAAAUCAAUUAGUCAUAUAGAAAAUUCAUCCUAUAAAUUACAUGUUACAUCUACUCAAACAGUCUACAAGGUAUACAUGAUUUUUUUAAAUAAUUAUCAUUUUCUUAGAUUUUCCUUUCUUCUACAUUGUCUUAUUUUUGCAAUUGUGUUUCUCUCUAAGAAUUUUGUAUUGUACAUUCAUUUUUUGCAAAAUGAAUUAUUUGUUUCUAAUUAAAGGAAAAUGUGGUAAAAAGCUAAUUUCUUAUUUGACCUUUUUCCACAAGUAUUAAUACCUUCAUAUAUUCCAUUUUGGGGAGAUGUGAUAGUAAAGAAGCAGGUACCUAUGUCUCUAGUGAUUGAUAUUAUCAUCGAAAAGGCAUGUUAACACUUAUAAGAUGUCUUGCUUCUUUUAACUUAUUUUUUUGGGUGAAUGUGCCUGUGUACCAAGUUCUGUCAUUCUUCUAUGUACUAAAUAUUGUGUGUGAAUGCAUUUUCAUGACAUAACAAAGGAUAUCAAUGGAAGUGUACCACUAAAAAAAGAUAUCAUUCUUCUAUUUUUCCUUUUUUUUUCAUUUGACAAAUAAAAAAAGAUGAGUGAUGAUUGAAUGAAAAAAUUAAUUUACUUCUAUUAGAAAGCAGCCUAUAAAAAAGUUGAUGAAAAAAAAUGUCAUGUUUAGAGUCUAACCUAUCAUGAUUUCAGGAUUUGAAAAUUUUUAAGAAAAUAUAACAUGAAAAUUAAUGAUAACCCCCCUCCCCUCCUUAUUUAUAGUUUUUGAAUCUCUAGAGAAGCGACCCACCUAGUCUUGUAUUCCUUUGGUAUUUCCUUUGUAUGUUUGAAUUUUUUUAUGUUCAUAGCUUUGCUUGUAGAACAUUUAUUUUGGUUAGUUAUUUAUAUUAUGUUUCAUUUAUCCUUUUGUUGUUUAGGUGUACCGUGAUUCAUUAAUUUUUAACUUUUUGAUGUUAUAUCAUAUUUGGAAAUAUGUUACUCUUGAAGAUUUUACUUUAUUUUAUUUACUAAGGAAUCACUAUUUUAUUAUAAAGUUUUUCUACUUAAUUAGUGAACAACAUUUAAUCCUCAAGUGAUAAGCUCUAACUAUUUUUUUCUAACUCAUUUAUUUUUCUAAAAAUUUUCUCAUUUCAUUUUAUAUUAGUUCUAGUUUUUUUUUUUUUCCUUUCAAAUUUUUAUGAAAGUUAUUGUUUCAAUUGUAUUUAUUGAUUGUUGUAUGUAUAAUUUAUGAGUUUUUAAUUCUUCCUAUAUUUGUUUAUAGGAUGCAAAGGAAACUGAUUUGCCAAAAGAAGAGAACCUAAUUUGUUAAAAGAGGUGAUGUCGAUUGAAAACCACCAUGAAGAUUGCAUCAUUAGUCAUUUGAAGGUUGAAUAAUAUUUUUUUGUAGAAUAUAAAUCUUAAUAAUUGUUGCAAUAAUAUUUGUACUCUUGUUGAAAGAAUUAGAAAUUGUUGUUCGAAAUAUUUUGAUGUAAUUUACAAAUUUGUAUGCAAUUAUUGUAUAUAAGUAGCUACAUUAAUGGUUUGAAAUAGGUUAUUAUAUAUCAAUAUUUGAAGAUAUCUUUAUUAGUAAUAUUCAAUUUGAUUUUGAGUUUUUUUUUCUUUUUAUUUAAUUAUAUAUGAAAUCAUUAUUUUAACAACAGAAUAUAAAUAUCAUUUUUAAUAUGAAAUGAUCAAAGAUGACACUUCUAUAAGUGUCAUUGUUAACAUAAAUCAAAGAUGGCACUUCUGAACGUGUCAUUGAUCAAUUUUAUUAAAGAUGACACUCCAAUAAUUAUCAAGAUUAAUAAUUUUGUAAAAAUUAUUUCACUAGAAUAUGUUUAAAGAUGACACUUUUUAUGAGUGUCGUUAUUAACAUUAUUCAAAGAUGACGCUUCUUUAAGCAUCAUUAAAAGCAUUUAUCAAGGAUGACGCUUCUUAGAAGCGUCAUUGUUGGCUAACACAUAUAAUGACAGAGCCGUAGACGACGCUUUAGAGAAGCGUCAUCUUUUGCCUUUCUUGAAGCAUUAAAAGCGUCAUUAUUUCGCAUUUUUCUUGUAGUGCCAACUUAACAAAGCAACAUGAUUAUAAACAAAAAUUGUCACCUUUGAUGCACGUCUUACAAGUUCAGCAACAUGGUCCAUCUUACCAAUAUCCUUAAAGAUCAAAUUAAGACAAUGAGUUGCACAAGGUGACCAAUUAAUGUGUUUAUACUUUUGAGAAAUCAAUCUCCCCGCGACCACAUAAUUUGCUGCAUUAUUAGUGACUAUAUGAACUACAUUGAGUGGACCAACCCAUUCAAUCACCUCAUCAAAUAACUUAAACAAAUUAGUUGCAUCCUUGACAAUGUCCAAAGCAUCAACGAAUUUCACAAAUGAUAUUCCUUCAGGACGAUACACAAGGAAGUUGAUGAGUGUUCUUUGUCUAUUAUCUGUCCAACCAUCACCCAUUAUUGUACACCCAACUUUUGCCCAAAUUGCACGAUAAGAGUCCACAAGUAACUGAACUUCCUUCUUAGCAUCCUUUAAAAGAUUAACCUGUAGUUGAUGGUAAUUUGGACCCUUAUAUCCAGGACCAAUUGCAGAUAUAGCAUCCAACAUUGGCUUGAAGUAGAAGGAAUUCACUGCAUUAAUAGGAAUGCAUGCAUCAUAAAAGAAUCUCCCAACUGACAUAUCCGCUCUCCAAAUAGCUUCUUUCCCAACUAGUACACUCCUCAUAGAAGGUUGAGCUCCUUGAGUAUCUCUUGGUGCAAAAUACUUAUCCACUGUUGAUUUUUUCCUUUUUCCACUAUUAGCUGCCAUAGGACUUUGCAUUUUUUGAACCUCUUCUUCACCUUCUGUCAUAUCCCCUUCAAAUUGUGACACAUUAGGACCAUAAGGAUUUCUACAUUCAUAUGCUUCUUGGAUUGCUUUCUUAGAAUUCACAAACUCUUGCAAAGAAUUUUCCAUUCGAAAUCUUACAUCAGGAGGAACUGAUUUACAUGGACCGAUAUCUCCUUUCACUCCAGCAAGAUGUUGUUUCAUUCUAUGAAUACCCCCACCUUUUGUAAUCUUUUUACAAUACAAACAAAUAAGAGCUUUCUUUCCAUUUGCAUAUCUUUCUUUAGAAACAUGCUCCCAUACAGAAUCAGUCUUACUUCUAGUUGAUUGAGAAUUGGUAGUUGAAUCUUGACCAGAGGAUGGAGUCAAGUUUAAUUCCAUUUUUUAUUUCUCUAUCAAAUUAGAAACAAAAAUCUCACAUUAAUGUAAAGAAUGGAAGUCAUCAACAAUUUAAUGAUUUAUAAUCAAGUCAUCAACAAUUUAUAACAAUCAUAUAUCAAUGGGUAAAUUUAUCUAAAGGAAUAAUGGUCAUUAUAACAAGCAUGUUUUGAUCCAAUUAUAAAUUUAUCUAAAUUCUAAAGUAAUUUUGUAGAGAUAUAUUGAUGGGCAAACUCCACAAAUAUCUAAACAAACAUGUUUGGAGAAUUUUUCCACAAAUAUCUUGUAAAUUCUGCUUCUUUUUCAAUGCAUGCUUUCACAUUUUCUCUAUGGCAUGCGUCAACAUACAUGUGGUCCAAAAGAGAUCAAUCUUCAUAAUCACUCGUAUAUAAUUAAUGUAUGAUAUCAUUAUACCAUUAUUUUACCACUUCUUCAUCAAAGGUAAGGUCAUUUUUAAAAUAAGAAUUAUUGAAACAUCCUAUGCAUUCCAUCAUAUUAUAAACUAAAUCAAUAUUGCUUUAAGUUACUGAAGAAUUCCUCAUGAAUAGGCAAUUAAUUAAACCAAAAGGCAUGAUGGCUUCCUUCCACAUUUACCUCAUUGUAUAUUUGCUUUAAAAAAUAAAUAAAUAAAUAAAUAAAUUUAGAGGAGACACACAAUCCAGCUACUUAUCUUAGCAAUUAGCAUCAUCACCUUGAAUUAUUAUUAUUAAUAAUCUAUUAAUCUUAAUGAACUUGUACAGCAUAGCAAAGAAAACAACUACUCAUUGGGCAAACUCCAACGCCGAGGUGGGCUACCAGCUGGGAGAGGGGGGGAGCUUUCCAACGCAGGCGAUACCUGUGUGGGUGUCGUGGGUCGCCAACGGGACCUGUGUGAGUGUCGCAGGCCGUCGGCGGGAUCUCUCUUGGUGUCGCAGCAGGGAUGCGUCGACGACGGGCGGAGGAAAGAGGGAAAGCUACUAGUGUGCCUGUCGUGGGCCGCCGGUGGGACCUGUGUGGGUGUCGCAGGCCUUCAGCAGGAUCUCUCUUGGUAUCGCGGCAGGGAUGCGUCGACGGCUGGCGGAGGAGAGGGGGGAAGAUACCAGUGUUCGUGUUGUGGGCCGCCGGCCGGACCUAUGUGGAUGUCGCAAGCCGUCGGCGGGAUCUAUCUUGGACCCUUGGUGUCGCGACUAGGACGCGUCGGCGGCAAGCAGAGGAGGAAGGGUUGGAGUUUGGAGGUUGCAGCGGCGCAACUUAGAGAUUUUCAUUUUCUUAAAUAGGACUCCAAAACGACGUUGUUUUGAUGUUGUUUUUUUAAAAAAAAAUUAAAACCAAUUGAACCGGCCGGUUCACCGGUUGGACCACCGGUUCAAGUAGUCCGACCCCCGUUCGAUCCUCAUCCAGUCCAAAUGACCGGACCGGCUUGUCCGGUCCAGUUUUUAAAACAUUGGUUUUCUUUAAAUAAGGUGAGUCAUCACCCUCAAAAGAGUAUAUAACACUUCAUUGGAUUCCACACCUGUAAGUUGUGGUUGACGGCUUCCACUGAUGAUGAUGAUGUCAUAAACCGGAACGGUAAAGGCCAUGGCUCGUAUCCACGGGAGAAUAUGGACAAGCUAGGGAGACCAAAAUUAAAAGUGCUAGCAUGAGAAUGGGAUAGCUAUACCAAAAGAGUGUCUUAGGGAAAAUGAGGGAGGCCCUCAAUGAGAGGGUGAUGGGGAGAGAAAAGUCUACUAACCGGAGGUGGAGAACUUCAAUAAUGAUGGAGGUGAAGGAAAAGAGAGUAAGGAUAAGAAGAAACAAGCACAAGUUUAUCCAAGUGAGGUGAUCCAUAGUAUGGAAUGGAUCCUAAGCGUCAUCCCUAGGCAAGGCUACUAGGGACUUGAGGCUGUUUAAUUAUUAGGAAUGGAACACACAACCUUAGAUCAAAGUCGUACAUAUUCAACUGAUGAGAAUUAAGAAGAAAGGCAUGCAGGUGACGGGCAUAUAAAGUGAAUAUUUAAUAAAUUAUGUAAGGCCAGGUCUUAGCUGUUGAAUGUCUUUUGGUCGGUCAACGCGCCAUUUCCACAAUCCAAAUUCAUCAUCCGAAAUUGUCCCAUAAUAGAUGCUCUCGUUACUAUUCCAUAAUUGUCCCUAGUUUGGAAUGGGGACUAGUCUUUGUUUUGAUAUUGGCAAUGGCCAAAAUUGUCCAAGCAUGUGGAUGAUUGCAAAAUUAUGCCAAAGGUUUCUUGCUUUCUUAGAAAAAUUUCUGAGCUGAUGUGCUAAUGUCUUAAUGAUGCUCAAAAAUCGUUGAAUGUCCUAAUUUUUUAAUUGAUACUUGCAAUCACAAAAACGCAAAUCAAGUACAUGUGUAUUAACCCUUGUUUGAAAAGUCGGUUUUUAUCACCAAAAUAUCGACAAGAAAAAUUGGUUAUCAGUCACCAAUAAUUAGUCAGGUAAAAAUCCAUAUGUGGAUAUAUCAAUGAAAUUUCAUAAAUAUCGUCCAUAUAUCAAUGAAAUUUCAGAAAUAUCGUCCAUAUAUCAACGAAAUUUCGGCUAGGGAGCAAAAUUUCGACGAAAAAUCGGGCGUGGGCAUAGCAUGCAAGUGGGCAAAGGGGCGAUCUCAAAAAAUCUCUGAAAAAUGGCUGUAAAAAAAUCGGCAACCUGCUAUAAAUCGAAGAUUUUUUGAAAAAAUCGUCUAUUUUUUUAAAGCCAUUUUUUAUUUUUUAAUUAUUUAUUUUUAAUUUAUCUUUUAUUUUAAAUUUAUAUUAUCCUUAUAUUUUUAACUAUUUUUCAUAUUUAUCUCAUUAAUCCUAUUUUAAAAAAUUACUAUAACUUCACUCUUAAUUUUUUUUUAUCCUUUUAAUUUUAUUUAAUUUUAAAUAUUUUAUUUUAAAAUAUUUAAAAUAUAAUUUUACUAAGAAAUGGCUACAAUAUAAAAAUAAUAAUGAAUUCCUAAUAUUUUAUAAUUUAAAAUUAAUUUGAUAAGAUAAAUUGUUAAUAUUUUUAAUUAUUUAAAUAAAUUAAUGUUAAUAGAAAAAGUUGUCACAGAUUUGUAAUAAAAUUUUAGAAAUUAAAUCUCAAAUACAAUAUUUUAUAUAAAUCAAAUUAAUUUUUUAUUUAAAAUGUAAUAAAGUAUGUUUUAAUAAAAGUAAUUUUUUUUUUAAUUUCAUUAGAUUAAAGACAUUGUUCGUGAGAAGACUAUAUAUAGAUCAUGGAGCAAAGCAUUUAGAAAGUGUUUUUAUUAUUAUUUUUUUUUUUUUUGCUGAAAGCAAAUUUACUUUCAAACAUUAUGUUAUUUGUUUUUCUAUUUUUUAUGAUUUAUUAUAAAUUUUUUAUUAAAUGAAAACAAUUACUUUUUAAUAUUAAAUAGAAAUAAAAUAUUUGAAAAAUAAAUAAAUCUAAUACUUAACACUAUUAAGCACUAUUUAAUUUUAAGUUCUAUUUUGAAUUAAAUAAAAAAAACAAACACCAUCUUAUUGUCUCGUUGUUAUUUAUAUAGGAUAUUGGAGUAUAAUUGAUUGUUUGUCGUGAGAUGUUAAGUCAAUUUCAUAAUUAGAUUUUAAGGGAGCCAGUAUUGUUUUAUGGUCCCUAUAAUCACCACUCAAACUCAUAUACUUUAAUGACAAGGUUCAUAAAAGGGUUAGAUCAACUCUUGGUUCACAUAUAUGGAUAAGGAUGUUUUGGCAAUUUUGUAAUAUUACAUAGGAGUUAGUAAACAAUAUCUCUAAAUUGAACUAAUUAAUUAAUUAGAUAACCCUAUUAAGUUAAUUAAUUAAUUAUGACUCUUUUUUAAUUAAAUUAAGUGACCUAAGCUCAAAAUGGACUCAAUUUACUUAAAUUCAGUAAGAACCUUACAAAUACUCCCUUUAAAGAUUAAUGUUUUAUUCUUCUUCCACCAUAAUUCUCUACAUUCCACAUAAAGAGAGUCCUAAUCUCUACCUUCCAAACUUCCACUAUUUGAGUGUUUAGCAUCAAAGGAGAGUUACUGGACGGAAGAUCAUGAACAUACGAAACCUCUGGUAAUAUCUUAUUUGUUCUUCAUAGCAAGGAAACGAUUUGGAAACAUUCAAAUCAUUAGCAAGCACUCUAAUCUCAUUAUCUAGAUCUAAAAAAAGUUUUGAAUCCAUGUUUUCCACUGUGCAUAGGAUUUUGAUAAGCUUCGAGAGAAUUACUUGCAGUUCCUAACCCGAUUUGAAGAUAAAGAAUGGAGAAAUCCGAAAUAUACAACAUUGGAUGCUAAACUAAUCACUUUCAAUUUUAUUUUCAAGAAAAUUAUUUUAUUUGUCAUUACUAAAAGAAUUAAUUUAUUGAAUUCAAUUUCAUUAGAGAAUGCUUCAAUUUAAUUUUAUUUACAAGAAACUGAUUUUUAUUUACUGUUUUAGAAAAAGAAUAUUUUUACCAUUUAUUUUGAAGAAAUGUUUUGGUUCAAUUAUUAUCUAAGAAAAGUGAUUUUUUUAUAAGGUUAUUUAUAAAAUAAAAAAAGGAAGAUAUUUACAAAUUUAUUUACAAAAUAAUGUUUCAAUACAUUUUUUAUUAAGAAAAUGAUUUUUACAACUUUUAAUUUGAUUAGAAAAGAUAUAAUCUAAAAUGAUUUUUUCUUUAUCUUACUCGUAAAAAAAAAAAAAUUACAGUUCUUCAAUUUUAUUUAAAAGAACUCUCACUUCAUUCCAUGAACGUUAUUUCAAUUUUGUUAAAAAGAAUAAAAAUUUAUUAUUUAAGAGGAAAAGGUUUCAAAUUUAUUUAAAGAAAACAUUUCAAAAGAUUUUACCCUUAUUUUGUUAAAAAGAUAUUUUCAACUUUAUUUAAAAAAAAAGAUUUUAUAUUUUUAUUAAGAGAUGAUUAUGUAACUUUAUUUUAAAGAAAAACUUUUCAAAAUUUACUUAAAAAUAGAUUUUAUCAUUUUAUUUAAAAUAAUAAUAAUUUAUUACUUUAUAUAAUUUUCCGCUUGCUUCUCCAUUGCUCCAGCGUUGAUGAUCAGGGUCUCCUCCAGUAACCACCUCUUAGCCAAUGGACAAACCCAUGCAAAAUAAAAAGUCUGCCCAAAGGAAUUAACAUCUCAAGCCCAAAUCCAAUUAUCCAAACCAGCUAAAGCCUAUAUCAAUGAAGCCCAAAUAAAUAACAGAUGAAAUCCAAUAUCAAAUUGAUAAAAAAACUGGGAGUACCAAAAUAUUAUUGGACUUAUGUGCAUGGAUAAAAAAAAUUGGUAUUAGAAAAUAAACUUGAACACUGAAAUGGGUAAACCAUUUUCUUUUAAAUGAAUAUUUUAAAAGCAUUGAAAAUUGAAAACACUAUAUCCAUUAGAUUUAGGUGGUGUUUGUUUUUUUACUUAAUUCUAAAUAGAACCUUAAUACUUAAUAAUGUAAAAUAUUAGGUUGUUUGUUUUUGUAGUAUUUUAUUUUUAUUAAAUAUUAAAAAGUAUAGAAAAAGCUACAUAUUUUAGUUUUUUCAAUUUAAUAAAAAAUUUAUAAUAAGACAUGAAAAAAUAGAAAAACAAACAAUUUAAAUUUCAAAAACAAAUUGCUUUUAGCAAAAAACCAUAAAAACAAACACCAUCUUACUGUUAAAUUUAUUACUUUCUUAUCGUAACUUAUCUUUUUUCCUAUCUUCAUGUAGACCUCAAUCUCCCAUCAACCUCAUAUGCCCGUCUCUUGAGGAAUUUUUAUAAUUAUUCCAUGUUUUAAGCAUACAUAAUUAUUUAUAUUUCAAUAAUUUUUAUUCAUAAUUUUUGGUGCACAAAAUGUUGGAACAAAGAGGAUCAUGGGGACAAUGGACUUUUUUUUCUCUUUUAUAGGCUGAUAUCCAUGAUUGCAUGACCGAUUAUUUUGAUUUACUAUUGCGCACAUAGAGACAUGUUCUCUGAUUGUGUGCUUUAAUGACACGUUCAUCUUCAUGCAUUAGAAUUACACAACGCCACUUGCUAUAAAACCCACGUUCUGGAUGUUGUCGAAUGCCGAAAGCUAUCACUAUGCCGAAUGACUUUAACCAAGUUUACAUGAUUUACCCAAACCCGAAUGAAACGAACCGGGCAUUAUCAAUACGGAUCGAAAGUAUCUAUACACACAAUAAUUAUUAUUCAAUCAUUUGACAAAUUUUUAUGAAUUCAUAGACCACGAUCUCCCAUCAAACUCAUCUGUCGGUUUUUUGUAGAUCUCUUAUAGUUAUUCUAUGUUUUAAGACUAGUGCAACACGUCCACCACAGCUUGCAGCCAUGGAAGUCAUUGAGCCAUGUACCCGCAGCAGGAGGAGCCUGCAAGUUCAGAAGUUGGAGAUUCAGAAGCUAAAAAUGUAGGCCUGCCUACAUAUAUAUGUAUAUAUUUGUUGUUUAUUCUCCAGCAGUAAGCAGGAUGACCACAUUCUAUCGAAGAGUGCUUUUGGGCUCCCCUCGGCCAUCAUGCGAUACAACGGAUUGUUGUUUUGUUGAUUGGCUUUUCAUGUGAUUUAAUUUGUUUUGUUGAAUGGCUUUGAAUGGCUUUGUGUCUGUUUCUAUAUAUAUAUUCCUUUUUUGCCAGGCAUCAAGAGAGUCUUAACGAAUCAACAGAGAUCUUUAUACUACACUGCCAACCUCAAAUGCUGAAAGGAUUAAUUUAAUGCUUUGGAUUCUGAGAAGCCCUUCACUCCACUUCCCGGAAAUAGAUUCAGUCACAUUGUAACUUCCGCCCUUUUGGAGACCAUUCCACCAUUCACUUCAAAAGCAACCAACAAAUCCACAGGUGAAGGCAAAGUUUGAAAACAACCCAGUAAUGGACAAGGAUCCAGAUGGAUUUACUUCUCUCACCAUGAAUUUUGGUGUCCAAAUAAGAAAGUGUUCCCAACCAAGUAGAAUAUCAAGUUCAUGUGUGAAUGGCUCCUAUGCAUCCAUUUUUGUGUCUUCUGUGUAAACUUCAAAACCGGCUUUAAAGUAUACAAGGAUGGCUGGCUGUGGUUGGUGGUGUAAGCUAUGCUUGUUCAUUAAUUUAAGGUUAAAGUCCCUUUCUAUUACCCCUCAUGAACUGCGGCCACCCAUCAUCACCUCCUUAAAUUCUUUGAAAUCUAGCUGCCAACGACCUAGAAAAUAUGUACGACUUUGAUCUGAGGUUGUGCGUCCCAUUCCUGAUAAACAGCCUGAAGUCCAUGGUGGCCUUGCCUUGGGAUUGGGAUCCAUUCCGUACAAUGGAUCGUCUCACUUGGAUCAACUCCUGUUUUUUCCUUCUCAUUCUCACUGCCUUUUCCUUCACCUCCAUUGUGGUUCCCCACACUUGUCCAGUCCAUGGAGCAGCUGGUUUCAUCCGCCUCCGGAUAGGGAACUUCUCUCUCCCCAUGACCCUAUCAUUGAUGGCCUCCCUCAUUUUUCCCCAGACCCUCUUCUGGUUCAUCUAUCUCAUUCUCAUAUUUGCACCUUUUUGGCCUGCUUGGGUUGCCCAUUUUCUAGAGUGGAUACGAGGCAUGGCCUCUACCAUUCCAGUUUAUGAGAUCAACAUCAGUGCAACACGUCCACCACAGCUUUCAGCCAUGGUAGCCAAUGAGCCAGACUCCCAGCAGGAGGAGCCUGCAGGUUCAGAAGUUGGAGAUUCAGAAGCUAAUAGUUAUGUAGGCCUGCAGUGGGACAUUGUGAAUGAAGUUUGAAGCUGUGACCUCUAUGUUAUUCUUGUUGAUUUUUCUUUCCUAUAUUUGCAUAAUGUAUUUGUUUUGAGAGAUUGGUCAUAUGUGCAUGAAUAAAAAUGGAGCCAUAACUCGUACACCAUGCACAAAAAGAGGAGCCCCCUGCUGCGUUGGAGGCAUGUCGUCUGUUAUUUCUUUCUUUUCCAUUAAGCUCUUGCUGUUGCCGUUUUACUCUUGUUUUACUCGUGCAUUUUGUUUUUUUGUUCUUGUUUUUCCUUCCAAUGUUUUGGGUACGCAGACUAUGUGGUUUGAUUCUUUGAUUACAUGAGGGAAUAUUUAAUAAUAAAUUAACAAACAAAAAUUGGAUAGAGACUAGCUAGUGAGUAAAGCAUAUACCAUGGCUUAGAAAAAUCAAGUAUCUAGCUACUUGCGUAUGAUAAUAACUUGGAUUAGCUUAGAAAAUAUCAACCAACUGUUUCCGUGCGUGCCCAAGAUCAGCUUAGAAAAAUCAACUAAGUAUAUACCUGGCCAUGAAACUUGGGUAAAAGAUUUAUCAUAUUAAAUUGUGAGUAAAAGGAAGGAGUAGCUAUAGUAUGAUCAUAAGAUGUAUAUUUUUGGAUAUAACACUUGAAAAAACAAAGCUUCAAGGUGGGCAUGACGCUGGAAACACCUUAGAGGAUGUUCAAACAUUGCCUAGGAACAUUGAAAUCCUUCCCCCCACCCCCUCUUGUCAAUGUUCAAAUGUUCCUUACAUGAUGUUUAAAUGCUUAUUAUGAAAAAGGGUAUUUUUAUAAAAUUAAAAAUAUAAUUAUUUACCAAAACCUUAGUUUAGGCUUUUGUAUAAAUACCAGGAGAAUAUAAUAAUCUCUUACCCCUACUACUUCAUCUCUUAACCUUUCGAGAGUAAUCUUAAAAGAUCUUUUCAACAAGAAAAGAAGGUGUUCAAUCUGCUAAUCUCAUUAAGGAUCAAAGUAUCCACUAAAGAUCAUGAAGUAUUGCAUUGAAGACUUGAAGAAAAAAAAAAUUAUAGAUGUUAACCAUUGUUAACUGAUAGAGGAGUAGACAUAUUCAAAGGUAUUGUAUCAAAAAAGUGUAUGAAACUCACUUUUCCCUUAUUUUUAACUUUUUUCCUAUUACUUUUUAUAAGAAGUUAUGAACAAUUACAAAUUUGUCCUUUUAAGGAAAAAGGGAAUUGCCAUAUAAUUAUAUAAAAAUAAUCAUAUAUAAAAUAAAAAUCCUUUAAAAAUAAUUCAAAUUUCAUGCCAUCAUUGAUUAAAGGUACUUAGAAUGGUCAAAUAUAGUAUCUAUAUCAUUAAAAUAUCUGAAUGGUUAAAAAUAGUACAUUUAAUAAAUUAAAAGAAUCAUAAAAUGCUAAUUAUUUUUAGAUAAUUAUUUGAAUUUUGUAUUUUAUAAAUUUAGGUUUAUAGUUCGUGAUUUUUUUUCGUACGAGUAUUUGAAAAUAUAUUUUUCCUGUUAUUUAAUAUAUAUAACCUUCCUGGCACUUGUUCCAAGUCUUUUAAUAAUUAGGUUUNNNNNNNNNNNNNNNNNNNNNNNNNNNNNNNNNNNNNNNNNNNNNNNNNNNNNNNNNNNNNNNNNNNNNNNNNNNNNNNNNNNNNNNNNNNNNNNNNNNNNNNNNNNNNNNNNNNNNNNNNNNNNNNNNNNNNNNNNNNNNNNNNNNNNNNNNNNNNNNNNNNNNNNNNNNNNNNNNNNNNNNNNNNNNNNNNNNNNNNNNNNNNNNNNNNNNNNNNNNNNNNNNNNNNNNNNNNNNNNNNNNNNNNNNNNNNNNNNNNNNNNNNNNNNNNNNNNNNNNNNNNNNNNNNNNNNNNNNNNNNNNNNNNNNNNNNNNNNNNNNNNNNNNNNNNNNNNNNNNNNNNNNNNNNNNNNNNNNNNNNNNNNNNNNNNNNNNNNNNNNNNNNNNNNNNNNNNNNNNNNNNNNNNNNNNNNNNNNNNNNNNNNNNNNNNNNNNNNNNNNNNNNNNNNNNNNNNNNNNNNNNNNNNNNNNNNNNNNNNNNNNNNNNNNNNNNNNNNNNNCUUGCUACUCCGCCUAGCAAAUUUUUAUGGCAAAUUUACUCAUCAUGAGUGUUGGUGUCGAGCCAGACACCAACAAUGAGAAUGGUUGUAGAAUAAUGUGAGGGAAAUUUCUUCUAAAGCUUUAUAUAUGUGACCAGGUGAUCAUGAAGCUAAACCUAAUUAUAAAUAAUCUCUCUUAAGCAAUGUAAUUAUUUUGUAUAUACUUAGUUAUAGGAAAUAUUCUUCAGGGUCUCCGGCUUUGACACUUGUAUAGUUUGUUAUAGAAAUUCUCCUGUAAUGUUCAUUUUCUACUAAAUAUAUUUUGGCCUCCAUGCUCAUUUUCUUUGAGUUGGAAUUCCUAGAACUUUCUUUAUUCUCUUUGCUUCUCUAUUCUUCUCUUUCUUGCUUGCAACUCAAUCUUGGUAUCAGAGCUGAAGAUGCCUGUCAUGGUUUCUUCUACUCUGACAAUCCGAGUUCCGGAUCCCCAAAAUGUUAACCCAACUCCAACUCCCAAUUUGAAUAUUACCCACCCUUUUCUUUCUCAGCCACUGACCAUCAUAUAUGAUGAGAGGGAUCUAAUACUCUAGAAAAACUAGCUUCUAAAUGUGAUAAUAGUCAACAAGUUGGAGGAUUUCAUUAAGGGAGAUGCACCUCUACUAGCCAAAUUUUUGGAUGAUGCUUAACUGCAAAUCAACCCACUAUUUCUACAAUGGGAACAGACAAAUAAACACGUUAUGGGUUGGAUUUAUUCACUAACUUCUACGUACGAUGAUGAGAAGAAUUGUAGAAUAUAAGACUAUUUAGGAAAUAUGGGGAACUCUUAACAAAGUCUAUCAAUCUCCUUCUAUUGCUAUUAUGUUGGGACUAAAAAGGAAGCCUUUGAUAAGUAUUUUGCUAUGGGUGGGUCAUUAUCUUAUAGAAAUAAACUCAUAUAUACUUUGAAUGGAUCGAGUGAGGAGUAUGAUAGUUUUGUGACCUCCAUCUAUAGUAAAUUUGACAACUUUCAUUAAAAGAAGUUCAUAAUUUCCUUUACACAUAUAAAUAUUGAUUAUGACAAAGAAAUACUAUACAACAACUCAAUUUUUCCCAAACUAACUUUAUUGUUUAUUUUGGUCAAAACAAAUUUUAGAAAAACUAACAACCAAAUUUUUCCAAAUACCACAAAAUCCAUAUUCUCCAAACAAAGCAUGUUAAUCCUUAUCAGCCUUUUUGUGCAAACUCUCAACCUAGCAUCCUUAGGAAACCUCAAGGUCAGCCACAACCAUCUUUCACAUCGCCUAAGAAACAAGGUCCUAGAAAUUUUGGACCAAAACCAUAGUGUUAAAUUUGUGGCAAGUUUGAUCACAUUGCUUUCAAUUGUUUUAAUAUUAUGUGUUUUUAUAAUUUUUUUAGCAUAAAUGUUUGACAAAUUAAUUUAUGAAUUAAUAUUAAUAAAGAUAAAUAUGUCAAUUAAUAAAUUAAAAUAAUUAAUAAAAUUUUUAUCAAAUAAUUUUAAUGCUUAAAAUUAAGAAUUAACUACUCGUUUGGAGACAUUUUCUUUGUUUUCUAUUUUUCAAAAAUACAAAUUAGUAUUAAUCAACUUCUAUUUGGUAUAUAAAAUGUAUGUAAUUACCUUAUGUGUUGACAAAUAUUUUUAAAUUUUGAGGCUAUAAAAAAUAUUUUAAUAUUUCAAUUUUUUUAAAAACUUUUUAAAGUAAAUUGGGGAGAAUUGUUCCAUUUAUAUGAGUUGCUUUUAUUCUUUAUUUUCAAAAAUAGAAAACAAGAAAUGCAUUAAAAAAUGAUAAGUUUUAAGUUAAUAACUUGAGAGUAUUUGAUAAAUCAAUUUAAUGAUUUAAUAUGAUCUAAUAAAUUAAUUUAAAUUAUAAAAUAAAUUAAAUAUAUUUAAUAAAAUAACUUAAUUUUACAAUUGAAAGUUAAAAAUAAUUUUAAGUAUUAAUUCAAAACAGAUAAUUUAUUUUUAAUCUCAAAAUUUUUUUUUACCUUAUUCAUUGGCAUCUAUUUAUAUUUUACAUUCACUUUUUAUGGUAAAUAUUUCAUGGUUAUUUCGUAUAUCUACAAUGAUAUUUAUUAAAUAAAUUUAUUGUUUAAAAUUAAUGAAAUUAAAUACAAGUUAAAAUCAAUGAGAAUAGAUAUUAAUUGAAGUAUUGAUAAAUAUUAAUAUUUAUUAUUUAAUGACUUACAUUGAAUUUAAGUUAAAUUAUUUUUAAGUUGUUAAUUUAAAAACUUAUUAUUUGAUUUUUUAUUUUAAAAUAUUAAGAUUGAUCAGUAAAUUAAUUUAAUUUUUUUUAAUUAUCAAAUUANNNNNNNNNNNNNNNNNNNNNNNNNNNNNNNNNNNNNNNNNNNNNNNNNNNNNNNNNNNNNNNNNNNNNNNNNNNNNNNNNNNNNNNNNNNNNNNNNNNNNNNNNNNNNNNNNNNNNNNNNNNNNNNNNNNNNNNNNNNNNNNNNNNNNNNNNNNNNNNNNNNNNNNNNNNNNNNNNNNNNNNNNNNNNNNNNNNNNNNNNNNNNNNNNNNNNNNNNNNNNNNNNNNNNNNNNNNNNNNNNNNNNNNNNNNNNNNNNNNNNNNNNNNNNNNNNNNNNNNNNNNNNNNNNNNNNNNNNNNNNNNNNNNNNNNNNNNNNNNNNNNNNNNNNNNNNNNNNNNNNNNNNNNNNNNNNNNNNNNNNNNNNNNNNNNNNNNNNNNNNNNNNNNNNNNNNNNNNNNNNNNNNNNNNNNNNNNNNNNNNNNNNNNNNNNNNNNNNNNNNNNNNNNNNNNNNNNNNNNNNNNNNNNNNNNNNNNNNNNNNNNNNNNNNNNNNNNNNNNNNNNNNNNNNNNNNNNNNNNNNNNNNNNNNNNNNNNNNNNNNNNNNNNNNNNNNNNNNNNNNNNNNNNNNNNNNNNNNNNNNNNNNNNNNNNNNNNNNNNNNNNNNNNNNNNNNNNNNNNNNNNNNNNNNNNNNNNNNNNNNNNNNNNNNNNNNNNNNNNNNNNNNNNNNNNNNNNNNNNNNNNNNNNNNNNNNNNNNNNNNNNNNNNNNNNNNNNNNNNNNNNNNNNNNNNNNNNNNNNNNNNNNNNNNNNNNNNNNNNNNNNNNNNNNNNNNNNNNNNNNNNNNNNNNNNNNNNNNNNNNNNNNNNNNNNNNNNNNNNNNNNNNNNNNNNNNNNNNNNNNNNNNNNNNNNNNNNNNNNNNNNNNNNNNNNNNNNNNNNNNNNNNNNNNNNNNNNNNNNNNNNNNNNNNNNNNNNNNNNNNNNNNNNNNNNNNNNNNNNNNNNNNNNNNNNNNNNNNNNNNNNNNNNNNNNNNNNNNNNNNNNNNNNNNNNNNNNNNNNNNNNNNNNNNNNNNNNNNNNNNNNNNNNNNNNNNNNNNNNNNNNNNNNNNNNNNNNNNNNNNNNNNNNNNNNNNNNNNNNNNNNNNNNNNNNNNNNNNNNNNNNNNNNNUUAAUGAGAAACCCCCUUUUUUUUUUCUGACCUUAAAUUAUAUCCCAUUUACCGGCGGUGCCUAUGGUAUUUAGAAACAGCUUAGUGGUGCCAAUGAAGAAUUACAGCCAGAAUUAUAGGGUUGUCAUCGCAGAUGUCCUUUCACCAAGGAAUUUCCUUGAAUUCGGAACGGUUCAUGAAAUAAUGAAGAAGUUUGAACUUUGAUCCGAUUGAUGGAGAUUGUAUCUUAAGCAAUUAAAUUUUAGAAACAUGCUGCACAGAAUCCUAUCUUCUUGCAUGUAGAUAUUGUUUUGCUUCAUCUUGGAAGCAAUAGCAGGGUAACUUAAAUAUAUCAUGUUUUUUGUUGUAUUCCAAUUAAUAAUCCUCCUGGAAUUAGUUAUCAUAUGGAGGCAUUUUUAUCAUGUGCAAUGUUGUUUUUCCAUCAAUUCUGAUCCGUAACUUCAAUACGUCAGCUUGAGAGUCCUCCUAAUUAUUUAAUCUUCCUUGCAUUAGUCAGUUAUCUGAAGGAAUUACCAGUGAAUCUUUGGUUUCAUCUUCUUGAAGUAUUUUUUGUGUUUUGCAGUUUUGCCCGCCAUUCGUAAUAAUAACAACCAAAAUAGAGGCGGUUUUGGGCGUGGUAGAUGGCAAAAUGAUAGAGGAGCGGGAAUUCUUCCUCGACCUGGACCUUAUCCUCAGAGGCAUAACUAUGGUUAUGGCUCAAAGUUUAAUAACCGACAUGAUGAACGUUUUGUUUCUGAACUAAAGCUUUCAAAGAGUGAAGAAACAUUGUCAAGAAAAUGCAUUGCAUUUCAAGAGGUAAGACAUUUUAUCAAUUUAUCGAUCCAUCAAGUGCUUUUCACCAUGGAUCUACAAACUGUAUAAGUAAUGCUACAAAGUGAGGGAUUCAUGUCUCACCAUUGUAUGGCGCUGAUCUAGAUCAAUCAAGGCUUUAGCUUUUUAGGUGUUGUAGCAUUUCUUUCAAUUCCUGUCAUUUUAAUUUCUAAUACACACACACACACAUAUAUAUAGGAGACAAAAAACUGCACACUAAGGUUAUUUAGAGAGUUUAAUUGUCUCAUUUGGUUUAUUUUCAGUCAAAUAAUCUCUUUGUGAUGUGAAUUUGAGAUGUUUCCAACACUUUGCAUGUGUUCCAUCUGUGUUGGUGCUCGGUAGGCUGUUGUUCAACUAUUCUCAUGAUUGCCUGAUGGUUAUCUUGUAAUUUAAUUAUCUCAUUACUUUUUAUGGUGUAAUGUCCAAUAUAAUUCAAUAGCCAUGCGAACUUGCUUGCUAUAGUCGUGUAGAAGGUGGAGAUGUCUGCUUUGAUGACCGCAGCUUGGUAAGCUUUUCACAGCCUGUUCACUCAGUAGGUUUUUCCAUUUAUUCCUUCAUGGACUAUAUUCUGAAUGUUACAUCAUUUUUCACCCUAUCUUAUCAGCGACUUUUUAAGCGUCUUAUUACUGAAGAUGUUGGAGCUGAUCUCAAUGAAGGUUAUGAUACUUUUAUCGAGAAAAAAGGUGCACUUUGUUGGAAAAAUCACAAUAAUCAUUUUGACAAAUUUUGAUGUGACACUUUUAAAACUAAAGAUGUCAAUUAUGUGUUCCUUUUUUCCUCCCUAAACCAGAUUUGGGUUCUGAGGGUUUUGGUGACCUUCUGGCUGCUAUCAGAAACAGAAACAUCCCACUUGGAAAUAUUCAUUUUGUGGUAUGAGGCCCCUGAUGCUUCUUGCUUUUUCAUGUGUCCAAUUAAUGCUUUUGUUUACAUUACUAAUUUCAACCUUUUUCUUCUUUUUUCCAGACUUUCCGUAACAACCUGAAUAAGGUAAUUGAUAAUUUCUUUAUAUGAACUUAACUAUUAUUCAAAUUCUCUUCAGUAAUUUAAAUAGAUUAUUUCCUUGUUUCAUCUUCUUCAAACAAGGUUUUUAAAGUCUUAGAACUAGCUGUGUUUCCUAGCCUAGAUCAAAUUGUAUGAUAAGGCUGUCCGAACCGUGUACCAGUUCCUUUAUGGGUUCUAGAGUUUCUGUUUUUUGGAGAUAACUAUUGUAUAUGGAACAUUGUAAAAUACAUUUUAUAACUAGAAAUGUCUGUCCUUUUAUUUAUUUUUUCAUCUAAGUAGAGCAGAAUAUUUUGCAACUUAUAUUUUUUUCCUUAUCAACUAGAUGUCUAUCUGGUAUUCAACCUGGGAGCCUAUUGGUUUAGAUUGAAAGUAUUUCAACUGGUUGCAUCACUUUUUCCUGCAGAUACUGGCUACUGCUUAUAUCAGGCAUGAGCCAUGGGAAAUGGGGGUGCAUAAAAGGAAUGGAGUUGUGUAUCUUGAUGUGCAUAAACUACCAGAAAGACCACAAAGUGACUUGGAUCGUCGGAGGUACUAAAUUUUUCUUAUCUUAUUUUGGUAAACAUAUUGAUGUGUUUGUUUUUGAGCUUAAAGCCAAUAGGGAGAGUGUUGAGUUGGUCUCUCACCUUUUAAAAUUUCAAAUUUUAAAUACCUAAUGAUUGGUUAAGAGUUUAGUCAAAUCAACAAUCCUUUCAAAGUUUCAAACACCAAGAAUGAGGUGAGAAACUGUUUAUUGCCUUCAUUAUUGAGUGGAUGCAAUUAGAGAUUUAUAAGUAAUAAAAAUGUUUAAAACCAUGAUUUAUAUUUGUCUUCAGAUGAAUUUCUUGUGAAUUGAAAUUUAAAUAAACUUUUAGAGAGACUGACUUGAUAUUUAGUUGAGUUAACAUCUUAAAGCACUUGAGUAACUUGGCCACCUCUGCCCAUCUAGAACAAAACCAAAUACUAGAAUAAUAUUUGACUUGAGAUUGAAAUAGCAAGGGGCAGAAAAAUGAGAGAUGCAGAAGCAAGCAAGCCAUAUGUGGUGGUCCAACAAAAACAAACUUGAUUAUGGAUUUGACCUGGUGGUCAGUUGUGCUUGCAUGUGCUGUCCUUUCCUCUUUUUCUCCAAUGGCCUUCUCCUCUUUUGGUCAUUUACUCGAGUGUUGAUGGAACAUGUUACAUUAUAAAAUUUGAAGCAGCAAGACAAGUGGUGCACUUGUCAUUUUCAAAAUAUUAUAAACAAUAGGAGUGCGAAUGUAUCUUUGUAACCCACAUUUUGUUGAUUAUGAUUUUCCAUUGGAUGUGAAUUCUCAAAGCACAUAACACAAUGGGAAGUUGGAACACUGUAAUAGAGAUGCGAUUUCCAUUUCCAGCCCUCCAUCUUGCAAAUUAAACAGGGCCUAAGGGUUAUUUUUAGAAAGAUGGGGGAGAAGAAGCUCUAUUUAUGGAUUGGGAUUGAAAUAGCAAAAAGUUAGGGAGAAAGAUAGGAAGGAAAAUAGCCAAUGAUAAUUCCGUACUGUUUGUCAUUGCUAUUUAUUAGAGGUUUACAAUACCAGAUUUACUAGUAGUUAUAAAAUAUUACUUUCUUGGACUCCAGCUCAUUAAUUUGAAUUUUUGGAAAUGUAUUGAUGUGUGAGCAUCAUUUCCUUUUGGUCUUUCUGGUGAAUUUGUACAGACAAGUCAGUCUUGAUAUUUAUGGCAAGAUCAUCAUUUUUGGGUAAUCUUUGGGCAUGGUCCAAUUUGUUUAUAGCAUCUAGCCCUUCUUCGGUUGUAGAUUUUGUGGAUUGGAUAGGGUCUUGUUGAGAGGUGCUGUUUUUGGUGUUUUUCUUUGUUUUUUGGAGGUGCCUUAGGCACCCAUUGUAUACUCCCUGUAUACUUUGUAGCGCUUUUCUGGUGCUUUUUAAUACACUCUUUAUUUACUUAUCAAAAAUCAUUAUCAUAAUUCAUUCAUACCUUUGAACUUUCUUAUUAAAAUUAGAUGUUAUUGGGGAUACUGUUUUGAGAGCCUUGCCACUGAAGAUCCAAGAAGAGCUGAUGGAGAAGGGAUACACCAUAUUGAUGCCAAUGCCGAAUAUUGUUCUGUGAUUAAGACCAAAUUAGGGGCUCAUCGGAUUUUGAUGGGUGCUGAAAUGGAUUGCUGUGAUUCAACUGAUGAUGGAAGAAGGUUCUAUGUAGAGUUAAAGACAAGUCGUGAGGUCAACAUGUUUAUCUUUGUUAUUCCAUCAUUCUGUGAUUACUUUUGGUUUGUUCUGGCGCUUGUCAAUGUCUCAACCUAUUUAUUACCUUCUCUUUUCUAGCUUCUUAAUUUUUCUUCUACUGUUCACAGCUGGACUAUCAUACUGAGGAAAGAUAUGAGAGGGAGAAACUGCUAAAAUUUUGGGUAUAUUUUUAUUCCUAUCUUAGCUAUGGUUUAUAUGUUUCCUUUCAUUCAAUGCUACUUAUUAUUUUUAUCCUAUUUGCACAUUCAGAAAUGUGUUUUUCUUUCAGAGUGCUUGUUUAUUGGCAUGCAAAGUUGUUUGACCUGUUUCCAUUUGUACCUUGCUAAGCAUCAAAUGUCUUAACAAGUCAAAGACAGAUUCUUUUUAACUCUUAAAGCAAAGCUCCAAGAAACUGGGAUUGCAAGAUCUAGCUUUUCAUCUUGGAAGAAGAAUGCUUGAAAGUCCUUAAGUUAUGCUCUUUCCAAAUGCCCCAUAAAAGGUGAAAAGUGGGCCUCAAAUUUGUGAGGAAUACAUUCAGGCAUCCAGAAUCUCCUGCGAUUAAAGUGGCCCAGCAUUAACUCUGGAAGUACCAAUAAUCCAAAAUUAGAGAAAAAAAAAAUUAUGAAAGUUUGACAGCUGCCCAAUAAUGGAUUCUGAGAUGAUUUACCCUCUGUGCCUGUAGUUUGAACUGAUGGGCCGUAUUGGUAAUAAACACAACCCUCUGGUCUACAGUUUGGAUGGAAUCCAAGGAGGCUGACAACACAGAAAAACCUCCUAAGAAGCUAUGUAAUCCAUGCCUUCUAUAAAUAUAAAUUUCUCUGCAUCGGUUCUACUAAAAGAUUCAAAGAGAGACUUCAUACCAAGAAUUCUCCCUCUCAUAAAUAGAAGAAGGGAAUUCUCCUCCCUGAAUUUGCCUAAAUUAUACAUGCUCUAGCCAAUGAAGGGCCUACCAACUUUAGCUUAAGGUGCCAACACUCUCCCCCUAUGACCAACAAAUCAAUUUCCUGAGGUUUGCUUUUUUAUGAGACCUAAAAAUAUAAGGCACUCCCCAUAUAAUUCCAAGAUAAAUGGUGGAACAUGCAAUUUCAUUAAUCGGAUGUCAGUAUCUAUGGUAGAUUUUGUGGAUGGGCUAGGUUCUCACUAAGGGGAGGGUGUUAUUUUUUGUUUACUUGUUUUUUGGCUUUAGGCAUUCUUUAUGCGAGUCUUUUGUACUUUGGUGCACUUUUUUUGCUAGGCCCUGUUAAUAAUAUUUUUGCUUGUCUAUAAAAAAAAUCCAUGUUAGCCACCAUCUGCCUCACUAUGUGUUAGCAAGGAUAAAUGAAGUCUCAACUAAUUAUUUUAUAAUCAAGUGACAUGCUUUUGAAGGAUCUUUAGGAUCAUUUGUUUUCAUUUUUUAGGUUUGCUCAAAUUGUUUCGAAACAAGUCUCUAAUGACUGAGGACCAAUUUAUCAGCAGUAGAGGUAUUUCAAUCCCUAGUCCUGCACAGAACUGUGCUUUAGAUUCCCUGCUUCAUUUUGAAGUUGAUUCUGAUAAGAAAUUUCAGCUGUCGUUCUUUAAACUUUGAGGGAGCUAGUGCGUAGCAUUUGUUCCUUUUAUACAAAUCCAUCCUAUUACUGGUUGUUUGAAGUUUGAGUUUCUAUUGUGGAUGAAUAUCAGUUGAAUUACCAUUUUUUCUGGUACUCUCUGUACUUAUUUGCUGAAAUCCCCUAUAAAAAGGAAAAACAAAAACAAAUCUGUAGUGCUGUUGCUAACUUGUUUGCAGGAAAAGCUAAUUUCUUGAAAUCACAAACAAUUCUAACCAUUUUUUUUUUCUUUACCACUUUCUAGCUUCUUGAAAAUUAUAAUAUUAGUACUUUGGUUCUCCCUUUAUUGCUAAGGCACUGUUAAUGAUAUUUUUGUUUGCCUAUCAAAAAAAUAUUAAAUCAGAAUUUGUAAGGCCUUUACUGUGGUUUCAGGGAGUAAUAUUAUGUGCAUGGGAUUCUUCCAAGAGUGACACUUGUGUUAACAAUUGCUUGUUUUGGGUUCUCGUCUAUCAAGAAAUAACAAAUAAAAAAUAAAAAAGCUUUAGUUCUGAUUAGCGUGGGCAUAAAAUGCAUUUUAGGUGGUUAGAUUCUUUUCUGUUCAUAAAGCCAUUCUGAGGGAUAUGCUGUCCUACAACCAUAUUUUUAACUCAUCAAACAUGGUGUCAAUAGGAAAUCCUUUUGAGUUGAGUCCACAUUGAAAGAUGGAAUCGUCUAAGCAGUACUUUAUUUUGCUCUGGAAAGGUUUUACAAGGGUAUUUUAAGUCUAAAUUUUAACCACAGUUUUGUGAGAAACAUGCUUUUGCUUUCAAAUUUACUGGUAGUAAUAUGAUGACUGGCUGUAUCUCUAUCCUAACUGCAUGAAGUUUCAUCAUUGUUCAGAUGAAGUAAUGUGACUGAAGCCCAUAAUAGCCCAAUUGCCCUUCCUAUUCAUGAAUAUCAAAGCAGAAUCAUCAUUUGCAUGCUGAGAGCUCCUUAUUUUGCUUGCUAAAAAAAGUCUUUUUUGCCCCAUCAAUUUACUGGGUGUUAUAUAAUUUAAUGUUCCCGAUGUAAAAAUCAUGCAGCCCAUACCAAGUUGUUUGAAUUCAAGGCUUUGUUGAGCUGAGAUGAUGUUUCUCCCUGGCAUCUUCUAUUUGUAGAAAUUGUAUCAUCAGAAUUUGCAUCCUUCUCAUUUCCAGUUAAUUUAACCCUUGUGAUAGGGUUGCUGUGUGAAUGAAUUUUAAUCUCAUAACUGGGUCAUUAUUGAAUGUGUUUAUCCAUUCUCAUUGCAGAUCCAGUCAUUCUUAGCAGGUGUCCCCUAUAUUGUCAUUGGAUUUAGGUAAAUCCCUUUGCUACUUCAUCUGCCUGUUUCUGCUUGAGGACUAUAUUGUUUUGAAUGCAAGAUGAAUGUUGCCUUUGUGAUUUGACUAUCACUUGCCUUUAGAUCCAAAGUUAAGGGGAGAAAGAGAAUUGGGCUACAAAGUAGUUUGAAUUUUAGGAGGAGAAAAAAAUGUGUUAAUUCUCUUGCUCUCUCUUUCUCCCCUUCUCACUCACUCUCAUGCAUGUCAUGUUAAGCUCCAUGCAGCUGGACAGUUGUCUGUGGGUAUUAUCUUACCUUUCCCCAAGUGUAUCCAAUUAUGUCAUGUUGUCUAUACUGCAGGGAUGAUGGGGGUCGACUUGUCCGCACAGAGAGACUAAGAACCAAAGACAUAACACAAAGAGUAAAAAUGAAGAACUACUGGCAGGUAAUGCUUUUGUUCAAAAAUUUCAUGCACACCAACUUGGGUUCCUUGCACUGGAGCGUAUAUCUCCUCUAUUUCAUGGUUUUCAUGGUUUGAUAUAUUCAUUAAAAAUAAGGCCAUCUUCUCGUCCAAGAAACAAACAAUAUGUUGGUGAUUCACUUGUUAUUCCUUUUUGGGAAAAUGGGGAGCCCCUCAAUCAUAUGCAUAGAUGCAUAUGCACAUCUUCAAACUAUGACUUGCCUGCCCUAGAACUGUGAAAACAAGGAUAGAUCAUUUUGAUUAAUUACGUUGUUGCAUUUUUAUAAUAGCUGAUGACAUUCUGUUAUUAGAUUGGGGACAACAUCACACGAGCUCUUAUAUAAUGGUUUAAAGUUAGGAUCAAUUAGUCUGUAAAAAAAUUUUGCAAAUAAACAUCAGAUAUCACUGUUUUGUUGGCGCUAAUGAAUUACAAUUUGUUGGCAGGGAGGAGUUUGCCUUGCAUUUGCUGACGAGGUGUUAUGCUGGCUCUAUGGAACAGUCAAAGAGAGUAAGUUUAAUCCGCAUUUUCUCUUCCAGCAUUUAUAGUUUCUGGGAAGGUAGAAGGAUGGAUGAAACAAUUUUUAAACCUGACCCUUCAUUUCAAUGCCAUUUAGUUGUAAAAUUCAGAUAUUUCUUGCCUUUCCCUCCCUCUUGGCAAACAAACAAUAACCAACACGUCAUAUUAUUGGUUUCAGAUGAAGACUACAUAUUGCAGUUUGCUCCGCCUUUCACCCGAUUAGAGCUUCUACAGGCCCAAUCAUGCCCAGAUGCAAUUAGCAACCAUGUCCAGCAAUUGUAGACCUUGGGAGGGUUUUUGGUAUACUUAACGAGUAUAAAGAGGGGUGGGGAGAUGGGGUUUCAGAUAAUUGACUUAGAUUAUUUUAAGGAAAGAAAAAUUGGCUUGAAUGUUUACUUAUGUUGUGAAUCUUGGUAUACAAGAACAAUUGCUAUCAUUAUAUUACGAAUAUGAAGAGCUGCCCCCUCUCCCUUUUUUUGGCUUAGUUUGGCCACCCCCAAACGGGAGUCCCUUGUAUAUCAGUUUUCCAGUGACAUGUUUGACCCAUGUAAAGUUGAUUAAUGAAAAAUAUAAAUCUCAGUAUCUCACUUAGAUGGAGUCCUAGCUUUCUCCAUUGUAACAGUUUCCUCAAAUCAUAGCAUGGAUUUCCAACUUUUCACAUCAAUCUAUGCAAUGAGGAGCCCUGGUCUCCUGGAAAGGGGGAAAAUUCUCUUCCAUUUUUUAUUGAGAAUACUGAACGAAUUGGUGUAAAAAUUAUUUAAAGUUUCUAAAGUUUUAUUUAUUUUUAAAAUUUUUUGCUCUUAUAAUAAAUUUAAAAAGUAAAAAAGAGAAUAUUUUAUUAGGUUUAAAUUUAUUUAUUUAUUUAUUUUCAACAAUGCACGUGUCUCUUUAAAAAUUUCAUUCAAAGGUGGAUACAAAUAGAGUUUGACGAAUGCAAAUAUAAUGGCUUAGAAAUGGUAAUCGUACAUGCCCAAGUUCAGAACCAAAUCCAAAUUUUUCACAAGGCUUCAGCCUUCAUAAACCAAUAGGUCACGUGACGGGCGUGCGCUAAUCCUGUAUGAAUACAAGUGUAACCGACUGAAACAAAUGGGAGGAGAGAUGAUGAAGAAAGGUGUGAGCAGGGAGAGGGAGGAAGCUAUGGAGAAGAUGACGGAGAGACUAUCGUGUAAAGACAACCUUUAUUUUCCAAGAGCAUUGGAAGCCACAGCCACGACUCCUUCACAACGGAAAUCCAUCCUCCUCGACCUCCUCUCUCGCGACCCCGCCGUCUUCUUAGGUACGCUCUUUUCCAACCCUAAUUUCCUGUUUGUUUCCUCACAAACGCAAUCCAUUUUCUUCUGUGAUUUUAUUUUUAUCGACUAGGCCCUGGAAAUUGUUGAUAGUAGAAAACACACGAUUUGUGUUUCACUCUUCAUCGUUUUUCUCAGUAAUCAAACUGCUUUCUAUCUUUUUUUUUGCCCUUUUUGUUGAUUGAUUGAUUCAGAGCGAUAUGGAUCGCAAUUGACCUCUGAUGAGCUCAGGGAGUUCGAUUCUUUGAAAGAUGACUAUGAGGUCAGUUGGCACUUAAAGCACAUCCGGAGUGUAAUGAGUCCAACUUCAGAGGAGUUAAAAUCAAGGUCAGUGGCAGUGAAGAACCGAAGACGGGCAUAUCUAAAUAAGUUGAUUUAUGAUGGGCAGUACUUUUCGGAGGAUGCUAUGAGGGAGAGAGAACCAUAUUUGCAUCACGAGUAUGUGGGGAGGUUUCAGGAUCCUAGUGGGAGAAGUAUGGCAAGGCCGGGGGAGCGAUGGUCAGAAACAUUGCUCAGGCGGUCAGAGGAAGCGAUGUUGGUUGCAAAAAUCAGAGGGGAGCAGCAGAGGUUGGGCGUUGCUGAGAGGGACUGGGUUGGUAAUGAGAGGUCCCAGCAAGAUGAAGAAGAAGAGGAGGAGGAGGAGGAGGAGGAGGAGGAAGAGGAAGAGGAAGAGGAAGAGGAAGAGGAAGAGGAGGAGGAAGAAGAAGAAGAGGAAGAAAAAGAAGAAGACGAAAAGCAGGCUGGAAAGGCUAGUAGGGUUUCAGAUUCGUCCAGGGUAAUUCUUUUUAAGCCAUGUUUUGUUGUGCCUUGGAGAUUGAAUAUUUUGAUUUUGUUUUGCAUAGAAUCUGAGCAUAAAUAUUUCAUGCAUAUAAGCCCAUUGAAUAAAAGGAGAGCCUUCAGCAUAAUUAGUGGUAUAUGAGCUGUUUCAUGAUCUGAUGGCCCAUUUUAACUUUGUGUUGCUAUUUUGUUAUUGACUGUCAUUUUCUGCACUGGUCUGAUUUAUGAUGGUAGGUUUGCACACUAGUUUAUGAAACCAUAAACAAUAGAAUGGACUGAUUAUGAUUGUAACCACCACAAGUGGAAAAAGAACUUUAAGUCAUCCAAAUGCACACUUAGUGCAUGCAUCUCUUUUUCUAAUUGAGCUAUUUAUAGCGGAGGUGUAAUCCUUUUACACUCUCUAAAAUAUGAAAUGUAAAUUUCCAGUUGUCUCCUAUUAUUCAGAAGUGGAUCUUAUUUAAGCUUUAUCAAAUAUAUCCCCAUAAAUUGUGAUCAUCAUUUUGUUGUAAAUCCUGUAAUUCUCUCUUGUAGUUUAGGACUGGUCAACUUUCCUGAUUUCAUAUAUUAAGAUGUAUACGAGAAUGAAUAGCGUAGUCAUCAUUUUAUUGCAUUUGACUUCUUUUUAUGGUGUCAAAGCCUCUAGGUUGCUCUCAUUAAGAUUGUUGAUCUACUGUGGGGGAUUCACCAGUACCUGAUUCUUUUGCUACCAUGCCCUCCCUUACCACCUUCAUUAUUGAUCCUCCAACUAACCACAUCUCCAUCAAUGCCAAUGCUCAACUCCCUUUGAAAUUGACUGCCAACUACUACCCAGUGUCACAUGCUCAAUUUCAUGUCUUGCUUUUUGGCUAUAUUAUCUCCUAGAUUAUGCAGAUGUAUCUCUACCAUAUUCUCCCGUUAUUGAUUCCCCUUUGGUUUUUCUAAGAUGACCUCAUCUUUCAUGGUAUCAAUCAGUUAUGCCACUCAUAGCAUUUGUGACUGCGUCUCAACAAGCUUGGUGCAAAUUAACUCAACUUUAUGCCAAUUGUUCCCAAACUUGUGCAACUGAUAUCCUUUAUCUCAAAUAAAAACUUGCUUUAACAACCCCAUGGAGAUAAGCCUAUUUCAAAAUUUUUGCAAUCUCUCAAAGAUUUAUAUAACCAACUUGCUCAUUCCAAUGCAACCCUAAACGAAGAAGAUCUAGUCAUGGAUGCCUUGAAUGGUAUUGGGAAAGAUUAUAGGGAAGUGGUGGUUUCUAUACUCCAAAGCCUCUUCUAUCUCCUUUGAAGAGCUUCAUGAUCAAUUGGUGGACCAUGAAGAAUUUAUUUAGUAGGACAACAUUUGCCUUGAACUUGUCCCCAUCACUCUAAACCUCACUCAACAUUCCAAAUCCCCUCAAUACCAAAACUCCACAACAACUCCUUUUUCUUCUCCAAAAAACCAAACCCAUAUUCCAGCAACCAAUCACCAACACCUAAGUUAAACAACUGUCAAUUGUAUAAAAAAAUGUGGUCACACUGUCAAAUGCUUCUUCAAGCUUUUUUCUCACGCCCUACCAAUGCCACGACAAAUCACACCACUCCUUUGCCCAACUACCGCUCCUUCACUUGUUGAUUCCAAUGCCUCUCACCAUUUCACUACCGACUUAAGCAACUAAUAUCUACAUUCUAGAUAUCGUGGUUAUGAUGAUAUUGUUCUUGGUGAUGGUGCAAACCUCUCAAUCACAUACGCUAGUUCCACCACUCUUCCUAUUUCGUCUUCUAACCACACCUUACCCUUUCAUAAUGUUCUCCCUAUUCCUUCAAUGCAAAAGAACUUGAUCUUGAUUUCUAAUUUUUUUUUUGUGUUCACAAAAUGCUUGCAUUGAAUUUUUUCUUUCAUUUUUAGGUCAGGGAUCUUCACAUGGGAGCACCAUAGCUUCAAGGACAAAAUAAAAAUGAUGUUUAUGAGUGGCCAUAACCCAUAUCCAAUCGUGGGAAAGCUUGUGAUGCUCUUCUUGGUCUUAAGGCUCUGACUCCUAGAUAGCAUAAUAAACUUAGUCAUCAAUCUAUCAAAAUUCCCAACACCAACCAAAAGGUUCUGCAUUCUUCUUUUUUACACUUUUCUUGCAAUUCUUGCUUAUGCAAUAAAAGUCAUAAAUUUCCUUUUUCAUAUCUCUUCGACUCUUCUCUUACUAAUCAUCAGCCUUUAGAUCUUAUUUACACUAAUGUUUAGGAACCUCUUCUAUUCAAUCACGUGAUGGAUUUUUAUAUUAUGUAAAUUUGUGGAUCAUUUUACCAAAUGUAUCCGGUUAUAUUUAAUACACUAAAAAAAUCAUACGUCUUUGAUAUUUUCAAAUGCUUCAAACUUGUCGAAAGUUUAUUAAAGAUUCUAUUGUGAGUAUUUAUUUUGACAAAGGUGGCAAAUAUGAAAACCUUAAACCAUUCUUUGAAUCUUAGGGUAUUUGACACCUUCUAACUCCACCUCACACAUAGGUCUUUGGUUGCUUGUCUUAUUCUUGGUUAAAACCUUACACCUCUCACGCACUUGAAACCAAGUCUUGCCCAUGCAUCUUUCUUGGCUAUUCCUCAAACCACAAAGUGCCUUUCAAUCUCUUGAUUCUCACACACAAAUUAUGUUUGUGUUCACGUUGUUGAAAAUUCAUUUCCAUUUGCUUCUCAUCAACCUAUUCACACUUGAUACUUUCUUCAAUUAGUAUAGUCUCCAUGACCAACCUACUCAUUUUCUUUUCUCAUCUUCACAACCUGAGCACACUACUCUGCCAAGUUCAGGUCAGGCCUUUUUUUUUUUUAAUGGAUAAGUUCAGGUCAAGCCUUUGCCAUAGGAACAUCAACCUUGUUCAAACCUUUGCCUUAUGUUGCCUCCAACAAAGGUAACUUGUCCACUUCUCCAUCCACUUCUUCUUCUUAUCCAUCUAACCCAUGCCAACCCUCUAUUCUUCCUUCCUACCUUGCUUUAUCGACUUCCAUGAUCACAAAAUAUUCACCUCAUGCAAACAUGGUAAAAAGAAACAAUAUUUUCAAGCCUAAAACUUUAAAUACUAUCACCAAACACCUAAUGCCUGAAACCCUUAAACUUACCUCAGUUUCUCAAACACUUUGAGUGGCGAGCUGCAUUGUCCAUUGAAUUUGAUGCUUAACUUCAAAAUGAAACUUGGGAUCUUGUUCCACUUGCAACAAAUCAAAACUUGGUUGCAAAUGGCUGUUUGGCAUGAAAAGACACCCUAGUGGGAGCACUAACUGCUACGAAGCACGCCUUGUUGCAAAGGGAUUUCAUCAAAGACUUGGGAGUUUACUAUCAUGACACUUUUAAUCAAGUUGUGAAGCCUACCACAAUUUGUGUAGUUCUCUACAUUGCCCUUGCCCAUGG